rnacentral:lncRNA from 1 species
UUCAAAUAGAAUGCAUGAAUAGGAAAAAAAAUAUGAUUGCAAUGCCUUGCCCAUUUGAAUCCUACAUGAUUUUCAUUUGUUUGAGUGUAUCAUAGGAAAAAGAAAUGAUUCUUUCGCAGAGGUUUUAGUGGAUGCUAAAAUCUCUAUUACCUAUAGCACAAAGGAAAAUUAGAAAAAGUAUUGGAUUCAGUCAUAAGAUUUAAAUGACUAACAUAGAAAAACAAUCAUAUGAAAAUCCUCUAAAUGAAAGCGGUUCUAUAAACUAAAAAGAUGGGAGUGAAGCGUUAAAGUAAUCCAAUUAGAGAACACCACCAUUGGAGAAUAAACCAGCGCGGACAAAACUUCUCUGUGCGGGUGCUACUUCGUGUGUGGCAUAUAGUGAUAUAGGGCACUGUUUUGGGUAGGUUCUCACUCAACACCAAUCUGGCUCUAGACUUCCUGUCCUUCGAGAAAUGGUUGAACAAGCAUAGUACUAAUAAUCACCUUUUGCCAAAUAGGAAGUUGUUUAGCAAGGUCGUCAUCAGUGUCUCGUGAAACGUUUGAAAAGAAAGGAACCUUAGGAUUUUCUAGAAUGCGUCACUGUGAGCGGUUGAUGUUUAUUUUUUGAAACGUGGUCUCGACCCGAUUUAUUAAAAAAAAUAGAAGCGAAUUGCUUGAUUAAUUUAUGGAAACCCAGGUCCGGCAUUACAACACGCCGAUAAGAGGGCACCCCAGACAACCUGGCUACACAAAAGACCCACACACACUGCCAAUGAAAGGACACCGUCGAGAUUGCAUGCAAUGUUACUUCAUCGCCGACGAGAAAUGUAUCGGCCUAUGCCAAAAAGUUCGCUAAACACAACGAGGAUCAGGCAGCUUCGACUUCACGCAUUAGCCUGGCAGGAUAUCAAGAAGCACAACUUGCAUCAACACAGCUUGACCAAUCCAACACAUGUCAUCGCUGCCACAACUUCGCCCCGCAACACAAACUUCUACUUCACACAAAGGACAUGUUGAACGAUCGACGAUGAACGGCAUGCCGCGGCCCCACCUCUCUUGCCAAACUCAAGUUACCACACAAGUCGCAAUGCAAACUCUGACACCAUCGAAAAUGAACGUGGUCAAGAUUUAGACUACUCUCAGUAUGAGCUCUUGGGACUUAACGUGCGAGUGCGGCAGAGGGCUGAAAGGGUAGCCCGUUUUAUUGCCUCUUAUCAUGCCUUUCGGCGUCCCGUAACGCAUGUUGAUCUUCAAAAGGAUCUCAUCGAGGAAAUGGCCGACAGAGAGCAUCUUGAUUUGUGCAUUUGAUGUUGUGUUUUUGAACUAUUUGUUGUAUUAAAAGAUAAAGUAUUUAUUUAAGUUGUAAAAACUAUUUGUUUGAGUUGUAAUGAAAUUGAAUUAUUUUUUCUGAUUUUUUUAGUAUGUUUGAACUUUUUUGCUUGUGUUUUAAGCGUAUAUAUUGUUUGAGUGAUAGCGUGCGCUGUAUUUUAACGUGCCUGCUGGAGCCAGCGUUGGCCGCCGCGCUAAAACAGACGAAGCGCGCGCUGCAUACUGAUUUUUAACGCCACGUGUUGAACGCCUGUUGGAGAUGCUCCCUUACUAAAGUAGAACGCCUUGUUAUUUUAUGUUAAAAAAAAGUUGUUGGAACUUACAUCUUUGACCUCCUUCUCGUCGAGCACCCCGUUCGCAUCUUUGUCCACCCUGUUGAAUUUGAAUUAAAAAGGCGAGACUCUUAGCUUGCUGGUUCAUUUAUGGAGUAUAUAAGAGAUUAGUGUAUGGAUUGGCCGGUGUUUAUAAUUAGCUUUACAUGUCGAAGAAGAUCCCCAGGCGGCUGUCGAAGCUGGUGUCAGAAAUGUCCUUCCAGAACACGCGCAGCUCCUCCAUGUUGAUGGUGUCUCCGGAGAUGUUCCGCCGCCUUGACAGCGCGUCGAACAGCGCUCCGGCGAACGCGACAUCACCGGCGCGCUCUUUCAUACCUUCAAAAUUUGUUCAAUUACAGUGAGCAUGUACGUGGAUACCCAAUUGAUUUGGUUUGAUUGAGACAAGACGACGCCAGGCGUAGUGUUUUACCGAUGCACAUGGCGAACUUGGAGCGGUGGAGGAGGCCAUCUUUGGUUUCUUCCCUGAAGCACUUCUCGACGUCGGUCCACUUCCACCCGUCGGAGCCGUCAGUCUUCUUGCUGAUGAACUUGAGGCCCUCGAGAGCGCGCGCGGGGACGGACCUGUCGAUGCUGCUCGGGCCGCGAUUCCAUCCCCGGCGGCUCAAGGACUUGAACCGCUGGAGCUCCUCCGCCACCUGCUUGAUCCGCGUCUUGGCGUUCUGGAUCACGCUACGGCCGUGCGAGGACUUGCCGCCCGCUAUCGGCUCCAUGCUGCGCACCGUCGCUGUGUAGUCCUGUAUGUCGAUGGUGACCUCCACGGCAUCGCCAUAGCCGUCGUCGUCCGCGCACGGCGCGGAUACGGGCUCGGCGAAACGCGCGGUCUUCCGCGCCGCGGAACGAUUUCCCGGAGGCACGCCGCCGCUGGCCUCCACAAUCUCCCCCACUCCACCGCUGCCCCCGGCGUCGGCGUCGUCAGCGCCCACCCGGCUAGGCAUGUCUAGCCACCGGUUCUAGCUCGUCCCCAAGAAGUCAGCCAGACAACCAAGGAAACGCACCCAGCCUAGCUCCGGAACUCCCUGCCGCCGAGGAGGAGAAGCGGUAGCUGGCCUGGAAGAGGGAUUGGAUGCGUGUGUGAUUAGCUGGAAGAGGAAGGGACGGGCGGGAGAUUGGCUGUUUUAUAGGGGACGGGUGCUUGAUUGAUCUAGCCAUCGUGAAGCAUUUAGAGCAUCUCUCUAAAAAUAUUAUGCGUAGUCAAAAUAACGUUUUUUUUAGUGCGCUGAAGGACUUGUUUGCUCUAACAAACACGACGUUUGAUCCAUCGAUUCCAUAUACAGCAGCUCAGAGUUUACAGCGCGCGAAAGCAGACACAUCAAAUAAACAGCGCGCGAUGCCGUUGAAGCUCCCGAAACGAAUGUGCGCAUGCGCAAAAAAAAAGACGAUUUUUCCAACGCGGCACUAAAACCGCGUGUCUCUUAGAGAUGCUCUUAGCCGUACGGUAUGAAAUGUAGGUUCGAACUGAAUGUUGACCUGUCAUUGUGAUCUGUUGCUUGUUGCUUCAUGAUUGAACGGAAUGUUCGACUUGCUUGAAUGAAGUACAUGAUCGAAGUGGACCUAAUCCAUGUUUUAGUUCACCUGUAUUUUAUGUCCACGCUCUGGAAUUACGCUGAGGCCAUAGGUUGAGGCAAGUCUCCCUUCGUUCCGAAUUAUUUCUCGAUUAAAUGGAUGUAUCUUAGUAUUGAAUGAAGUAGCAAACAGGGUGCCCCCUACCCAUUUCCGCUACUGAGUAUUGUUGCUAGUUGCUACACAUGAAAACCUAAAAGAUCUAAAUAGGGAUUGUUUAACAAAUUUAUAGAGUUCAUAUUUCAAAAAGAUAUGUAAAAAUCCAAGAUGCAUGUUGAUUUAGGGUUAGACCAAAAGCUCGAAGCUCGUGAGCUUAAUGAGUGCUUGAUUGCUCAAUUUGUUAAGCUCGUAGCUCGUCUGUUAAUGAUCAUAGCCAACUACGGAUUUUAGCCGGUUAAACUUAACGAGUUUAAGGAACGAGCUGAUGAGUUCUAUGAGCAACUCGUUAAGCUCAUUUUACAACACAACACAUGUUUUUAUCGUACAUGACAAUACUCUCAUGGUACUUCAAACCAUUUAUUUAGUUUAAUCGACAUAUCCUAACCCAUAGAAGAUUAAAAAAACUAGUGCAACUUCGCCUAUAGUCAGCAUUUUCUUUAAUGAAAAGUACACUCACACUGCCGUAACAGAUCAUAGUCUCUUAACAAGUGCUUAUGAGCUUAACAAGCUUUAAAUACACAUAGUUGAACGUCAUCUUUUGCGCUAAACAAGCUUAAUGAGGUGAGCUUUAAUGAGCAAAAGGUUUAUGGACUGAGCCUUAGGGCCAGUUCUUUUGGUGGCUCUUGUGAGCUUCUAGAAUAAGCUGCCCCCUACCCAGGUUAUUCUCGAAGCCCAACCAAAAAUAUAUUUUUAGAAGCCUACUAGUCAAGUAUUAACUAGUAGACUCUAAAAAAAUAAAUUUGAUUGGGCUUCUAGAAUAAGCUGNNNNNNNNNNNNNNNNNNNNNNNNNNNNNNNNNNNNNNNNNNNNNNNNNNNNNNNNNNNNNNNNNNNNNNNNNNNNNNNNNNNNNNNNNNNNNNNNNNNNNNNNNNNNNNNNNNNNNNNNNNNNNNNNNNNNNNNNNNNNNNNNNNNNNNNNNNNNNNNNNNNNNNNNNNNNNNNNNNNNNNNNNNNNNNNNNNNNNNNNNNNNNNNNNNNNNNNNNNNNNNNNNNNNNNNNNNNNNNNNNNNNNNNNNNNNNNNNNNNNNNNNNNNNNNNNNNNNNNNNNNNNNNNNNNNNNNNNNNNNNNNCAGCUUAUUCUAGAAGCCAGCAAAAGAACUGACCCUUAAUGAGCCUGGCAGCUUGUUAAACCACCCCUAUUCUAGAUGCUAUAUUAUGUGACAGCGAGACAAGGAGUAUUAGAAAUUACGCCCUCCAACUCAAUGAAUAAGGCGCAAACGGAUUCUAAAAUUCAAGUUUCACCAUAAAUUAGACCAACUAUUUAGUAGGAUUAGAUGUAAAUCAACAUACCAUUAAAUUUCUAUUGAAAGUAAGUUUUACAGUGUACUAUUUUGAAGUCACAAAAUUGUAUACUUCCUUUGUUACGGUUUAGAAGGCACCCUUCAGAUUUCAUGCAUUUCCAAAACUGAAAAGGAUUAAAGCAAGUUUCAUUUAUUGCUUAGUACUAGUACACCAUAAUGUGUAAUUAGGAGUACUACUACUAUUGCAUGCAGCGUGUGAACGUGGUGUGAAUCCAUCCGGUGCAAAAGGCUGGAAGGUUUACUCCAUAAUAAAAUCUCAACUAAUUAGGCGCGGGGGGUUUACUCGAUGUAAUAAAAUGAGUUAAUCUCUCGCUACCUUGGUCCCAACGAUCUGGGCUAGGUGCCUUCUGAACGUGAUGGAGGAAGUAUUAUUAAUCUAAUUUAUGGUCAAGUUGAAUACUUAUUAAAAAAUGUGGGCACCUUAUUCAUUGGAAUGGAGGGAGUAAACACAAUCUGAUUGCGCUCACAUGCAUAUGCUAACUGAUAAAACAUGCAACAUCGAAGAAACCCAAAAGGGAAAGUAAAAGAGCAAGUCCUAACAAUUACUUGGAAGGAACACAAUCUGUCUAAGCAGCUUCUGCAUACGCUGGCAUCUCUCCCGAUUAGAUGACAAGUGUUCCAGACUCCCGGUGCAUUGACUCAUAUGAUUUUCUGCUACGACAGUUGCAACCUACCUGCACAAACAUGUGUUCUAUUGUGCAUUCAUUCUAAUCAGAGAAAUUAAAACAUUUGAUUAAUUAAUAUACAUUUCUGUAUAGUCACUUCAAGAAUUUUGGGCAAAGAGUGGAUUUUCAGCACCCGGGUGCCUAGGCACCCUCUAUAAACAGUAACAUCAGAACAAAUAGAAAAAAGAAAAAAAACUGGAAGUUUGUAAGAUCAAAGAUGAUAAAAAAAAUUAGGUUCUUGCAAGUUUUCAUGUCAAAAAAACAUUUGAGAAACUCUACACAGGAAAAAUAUUUUAGUACUUUAAAUUUUAAGCAUUUUUAACACUGAAAUCUGAAACUUGUUUGUACACGUUUCUCUACAAGAUAUUUUGGCAUGAAAACUUGUAAGAACCUACAAAGUUUGACUAUCUUAUAUGUUGCAAUUUUUUUAAUUUUGCUGUUCACAUAGGGUGCCUAGGCACCCGGGUGUUGUUACACCUUUCACUUUUGGGUAUCAUUAGCUGCUAAUACGUAGGAUUUUCUCUUAAUCUUUAAUGUUUUUAUGUAUGUCCUUCAAGCUAGAACUGAUUGUUUAGUGAUAACAUAAUGGUACUAGUACAAUCCAAAUUUAUUUCUGAGCCUACCUAUGUCCCUUUGUUUUUGUUACUUAUGACAACAUGUCUUGAACUCUUGAUAUACAGCAACUUCAGAACAUUUUAACAUGCGCACCUGCUUUGUAGCACUUCCUAAUUAGAUAAAGCCAGAGGAUAACUGAGUUUCUGAAAGAUUUUUUUGUUUAGAUGACAGCUAGCAGGCAACUACUAUACUUGAAGAGUUGAAGACUUUGGGUGUUAUGCGAAGUCUUCCUAUUCAAUUUAUAACAUUGCUUAGGAACCCAUCCUAUAUUGGACUUGGGUAGUACCAACUGCAGGCCGGUUAAGCUAUCAUAUUCAAUCUGCAAUGCAUCAGCCAGGGGAAACCCGAUGCGUGGAAGUCGACUGGUUCGAAAGUUUGUUGAGAGUCGGCAUCAAGACCGGUCUAGUCAACUGCACUUCUGUCAAAAAAGCAUCUUCUUAUGAUCUUAUCUGAUAUGUAACUGAGCUAUUUUAUUCCAUCAUCGUGCCUGUUCAUACGGCUGCGAGAUUUGAAUAUUACACCUUGCUAUCUCGAGAUUAAAAUUUUAGUUGAUGACGCCAUUUGAUCUGUCGUGUUCCAUUAGUCCUUUCUGUGAAACAAGUCUUAAUGUGUCUUACAAUAUCUUACAAAAUCCUGUUCAUCAGGAGGAGGAAGCUACGUGAUGCUUUCGGAAGUGAAAGAAAGGUGGUACGCGCUUUCCAUGCUGCACAGGGCACGCGGAUAUCAUUGCAAAUCAUUGUGAAAUCAUCUAUAUGACUUUUUUUUAUUUUGCUAACCUCAUGUACCAUGGGGUAUUUGUGAAAUCAUCUGGUAGAGCUGAGUUCAUUGUUUACUGUUUUUGAGAUAGCUUACCAUCCAUAUCAAAUGGUCUGUUAGAGCUGAGUUGAUAAGUCUGAAUUGGUGAUGCCUCAUGUCUGGAUCGAUCUUAUUGCCACCGAAGUAAAUUUAUGUGCACAUGGUGGCAAAAUUCUAUAUUGAAAAAGAGCUCUUUUUCGUGGCACCCUUUAUAUAAUUACAACUUUUAUGGUGAUUGGCGAUUUUAGGAGCCGUUCAUCCACCCUAAUCUUACGGUAGAAAAAUAGAAGUUACAAAGAGUUACGAAACUAAAAUUACGGGAAAUUACAUGUAACGGUGGGACCCAAUACAAAACUUUGACGCAACCAAUGCUUCUAGUUAUUUUUUUAUAUAAUAAUACUAAAGAAAAUAUUGUUUCUGUCGGUUCAUCGUUGGGGCGCUUUUGUAAAAAAGCCUCUAAUCUUUUUGCUAUCCAACCCGCAGUACGUUUUAAGUGAUACAAACAAAAAAUGUUUCAUUUUUACAGAAAUACACCUGUAGUUAUCGGAAUUCAACUCGCACUCCUGGCCAUAAGUCAACCAAUCGUUACACGCGACAUAAAGGAAAAAAGAAAACCCAGCCACGCUCACGACCCUGCCUCCCGAUCCCAUCUCCAUCUCCAUCACGUCGUCCCGCCCCGCCCCUCACCGCGCGCGCCCGCAGUCGCUGCACAUCCCCGUCGCGUUGCCAGCUCCUACAAUGCCCCGCCCCGCCCCAGUUCACGGCGCGUCGCCCGAGGUCACUACAUAUCCCCGAUGCGUCGUCACCUCACACAUCGCCGACCCUCCACCAUGCGUCCGCGAUGGAGCGCCGGUGGGCGUCCCUGUCAAGGUGACUCACCUCGCCACCGUCGCACCUCCCCCAGCAUCGCUGCCAUCGCCUCGCGCUGCCGUGUACAAGUUCGAGUACUCCUUUGCGGCCAUCAUCUCAGUGUGGUUUGUCCUCAUCGCCGACAUCAGGGUGUAGAACCUCACCCCCAUGAUGCUACCAUUCUCAGGGCACUCAACCCUAGGUACAUGGUUGACUACUUUCGAAGGAACGACAAGGAGGCGUGGCUCUCUUUCGGGGGCGUCAUCCUCUACACCACAGGUACGUUGUUCAACUUUAGUAUGUGAGAUGCCUAUCUUUCUUUAUACUCGUGAUCAAAUUCGCUAUCUGCUAUUGAUAACGGGAUCACAACAUUAGGAGAAUGAUGUGAUGGACAAAACCCAAACUAUGAACGUAGCAUAUGAUCGUGUCAGUUUAUUGCUAUUGUUUUUUACAUGUCAAGUAUUUGUUCCUAUGAUCAUGAGAUCGUGCAACCCAAUGACACCGGAGGAGUACCUUGUAUGUAUCAAAUGUCGCAACAUAAUUAGGUGACUAUAAAGAUGCUAUAUAGGUAUCUCCGAGGGUGUCUCUUGAGUUGGCAUGGAUCAAGACUGCGAUCUGUCCCUCCGUGUGACGAAGAGCUGUCUCAGGGCCCACUCGGUAAUACAGCAUCACAAUGAGCUUGCAAGCAAUGUGACUAAAGAGUUAGCCAUGGGAUCUUGUAUCACCGAAUGAGUAGAGAGACUUGCCGGUAAGAUUGAGCUAGGUAUGGAGAUACCGACGAUCGAAUAUUGGAAAAGUAACAUACCGAUGGACAAAGGGAAGUGCAUACGGGAUUGAUUGAAUCCUUGACAUCGAGGUCCAACCAAUAAAGAUCUUCGUAGAAUAUGUAGGAACCAAUAUGGGCAUCCAGGUCCCGCUAUUGGUUAUUGACCGAAGAGUGUCUCGGUCAUGUCUGCAUAGUUCUCGAACCCAUAGGGUCUACACACUUCAUGUUUGGUGACGAUAUAAGCAUAGCCGAGUCAUUGUAUAUAUUGGUGACCGAAGGUUGUUCGGAGUCUCAAAUGAAAUCCCGGACAUGACGAGGAACUCCAGAAUGGACCAGAGGUGAAGAUUAAUAUAUAUGAUGAAGUUCAUCGAAGUCUAGAGGUGUUCCAGGGCAUACCAAGAAUGUGAUGGAAUACCGAAAGGGGUUUCGGGAGGCCCCGACAAUUUUUUGGGGGGCUCAUGGGCCAAGGAGAAGGGGCGCAGUAGCCAACUAGAGGGUUGGGCGCUGCCCACACCUCAGCCCACUUCGGCCAAGGGAGAGGGCCUCAACCCUAGGGCGUCGUCCAACCCAACUUGGGUGGUACCCCUAGGGCACCGGCCAACCCAACUUGGGUGGCAAGACACCUAGGUGGGAGGGGCCACCCCAGCCCUAGCCUCUGCCGGCCCCUAGGGGUAACCCUAGGGUGCCCUCCCCUCCUCCCUUCCCCCUAUUUAUAGAGAGGGUAGAGGGAGGGCAGCAACACAACAAUUUGCCACGAUGUUGUUCCUUCGCUCCCUCGUAGUUCUUGUCCUCUAAAUAUCAUGCAGUGAAGCCCUGCUGAGCUAUCACCACCAUCACCUCACCACGCUGUCGUGCUGGCGGAGGACUCGGGCUGCUACUUCAUCAUCGCUCGCUGGAUCGAGGAGGUCAAGACUUCAUCAAGUCAUACGUGUGUUUAACGCGGAGGUGGCGUCCGUUCGGCGCUUGAUCGGGAGUUCGUGGGACGGAUCGUGAUUAGAUCGCGAAGACGUACCACUACAUCAAAUGUGUUCCUUUAACGCUUCUGCUAAACGAUCUACAAGAGUAUGUACAUAAAAUAUCUUCCCUCGUAGAUGUGCAUCUCCUAGAUUGAUCUUGGUGAGUGUAGGGAAUUGUUUUCCAUGCAAUGUUCCCCAACACUAGGUGUGGUGGAGAUGCGCAUGUUGAGAUGGAUGUGUGGCCAUACAAGGAAGGACCGAAUCGGGAAUCAUGAUAUACGACAGAGAGUUGGGGUAUCACCAAUUGAAGAGAAGCUGGUCCAACAUCGUCUGAGAUGGUUUGGGCAUAUUCAACGCAGGCCUCCAGAAGCUCGAGUGCAUAGAAGACGGCAAAAGCAUGCUGAUAAUGUCAAGAGAGGCAAGGAUAGACCGAACUUGACACGGAAAGAGUCCAUAAAGAGAGAUUUAAAGGAUUGAAGCAUCACCAAAGAACUAGUCAUGGACAGGGGGCAUGGAAGCUUGCUAUCCAUGUGCGAGAACUAUGAGUUGGUCACGAGAUUUUAUGGGUUUCACCUCUAGCCUAUUCCAAGAUGUUUGGGACUAAAAGCUUUGUUGUUGUUGUUGUUGUUGUUAACAUUUUCAAACAUUAUUUAAGUGGGAACAUAUUAUAAAUUUCCCGAACAUUUUCAAAUCAUGAACAUUUUUAGAAUUAGUGAAUAAAAUUUGAACAAGUUUUGGUAUUUCUAACAAGUUUUCAAUUUGUGAACAAACUUUUAAAAAACAGAAAAAUAAUUACAAAAAAAAUUGAAACGCUAACAUUUUUUGAAAUUUCAGAAUAAAAGUUGGAAACGCGAACAUAAAAUUUAAAAACAUGAAUAUUUUGAAAAUUUGUGAACAAAUGUUCUUUAAAAAUGAACAAUUUUUUAAAAUGGGAACAUUUGUUAAAAACUAUUUUGUAACCUUUUUUGAAUUACUAAACGUUUUCUGAAAUGAAGUGAACACAUUUUUUAUUUCUGAUGUUUAUGAACAAAAUUUUGUAAAGGGCAGCAUUUUCUUUAAAAAUGAACAAAUUUGUUGAAAUACGAACAUUUGGCAACAGGGAGCGCGGGUUGCGGCCAUCAGGGUGGCGUGGCCUCGCCAGAUCUGGGCCAUGGCGCCUUGAUCCACGCUCCAGCGAUGGCAUUGUGCGGCUCCACGACGGCUAGGUGGGCUCCGUAUGGCUCGUGGCUGGGCUUUCCCGGUGUGGGAGCUUCUACAGCGAUUGCCCUGUUUUUGCCAGAUCUGACUAGUGCGGGAGAUGAUGGGAUCUAGAGCUGCUGCUGCCCCAUGAUGAAGUUGCAGCGGGGCAUGAGGACGAUGCUUUGUCGGCGGGGCGUGAGGCCCAUGGUUGCCGGAGUAGCUGCCACGGGAUGGAGUUGUGGCGGCUUCAGUUGUUCAUUCAUGGCAAUACCGGGAGCUGCGGAUCAGGAUGGUGGGCGGUGGAUUUUUGUGGCGACAAGUCAUUUUGGACACUAGGCUACCAGUGAUCGGACGAAGGUCGGGAUGAGAUGCCAUGACUUUGGACAAAGGUUUUCCCUUUUAUAGAAACAACAUGUUGCAAUAAAUCUCAGAGAAAAGUAGACGUGGUUUUUGGGGAUAAACAAAUAUGUUUUGAACUCGCAAAAUAAUGCCAUGAUUUAUAAAAAUAGUUUGACAAUUUUUAGAUCAACAAAAUAAUUCACCUGGAACAACAUUUGGCACUGUUUUUCACAAAAGCCACAACAACAAAAUAUCCAAAUUCUACCAAGUGUUACUUUUAAAAAUACCUAGCAGAAAAUUAGCUAGAGAAGCAACAUUUCUAACAAUUUAGUUGAGCAAGUUUUAAACCACACAUAUCUAUUAAUUGAAUAAGUGGGGGUUUUCAUAGCUUGAAAAGGACUUGGCAUAGGACCAAUUCACACCACAUGCAAGCACACAUCACCCACAACACCACAGCACGUCAACAAGCAUGCUGCAACUUAUGACAUGAUGGUUAUGAUGCCAUGAUGCAAAAUGACAUGGGGCAAAAAAUAAUUAUUAAACUCAACCACAUGGCAUAGUUGGAAGGUUCAAAUCAUGCAAUACAAUACAAAUAAGGUAAGGGGUGCACUUGGGCUGUUACACAUAUGCUCUCACUCGAAAGGCACCUAGGCAACCUCAAACAAUAAACCUGGAUUUUGCAAAAAAAAAAAAAAAAACUAGAGACCGGACAUAAUGGACAUAUUUUGACUUGCAUAUUUAUAUGUUACAAACACCAUAUGUCAAGAUGUAAAAGCAUACUUUAUUGAGUUUUUUUAUGUAAAACCAUUUUGGGGAAAAAUAGGUAAAACAUUGUAAAUAUAUCGUGUUCAAUAUACAUAAGGGUAAGACAUCCAAGUUUCCUUUUGGUUGACUCAAAUUAUCUCUGCUAUUAAAGCAGGAUCGAACGUCGUGAUGGUUCAACCUAGCGAUGGUUCGACCUCUCCCAGCGAUCUCACCUCCUUGUACGGCCCUGCACAUAAAAAAAAGAACGCACCCACGAACGCACGAUCCCCUCCUGCGAUGCUCCCAACUGAGCCUCCUGGAUCUCCGCCCCCCUCUCUCUCUGUCUCCACCUCGCUCGAUCCGCCAGCGCAACCGACGCCGCCGCGAUCGAUCCCCGGGAUCCAUGUCCAUGGCCGCUGUCACCAAGAAGAAGAAGGUCAUCAUCGACACCGACCCAGGGAUCGGUCCGUAUCCACCCGUCCCACGCUCUCACGAUCCCCUCCUCUCUCGCGCGUUGACCGCGGCGUCAUAUCGCCGUCGCCGGCCUCUGUGGUCUCCCCAACCCCGCAGUCGACGGCGACCCGGAUGCUUGCGCNNNNNNNNNNNNNNNNNNNNNNNNNNNNNNNNNNNNNNNNNNNNNNNNNNNNNNNNNNNNNNNNNNNNNNNNNNNNNNNNNNNNNNNNNNNNNNNNNNNNNNNNNNNNNNNNNNNNNNNNNNNNNNNNNNNNNNNNNNNNNNNNNNNNNNNNNNNNNNNNNNNNNNNNNNNNNNNNNNNNNNNNNNNNNNNNNNNNNNNNNNNNNNNNNNNNNNNNNNNNNNNNNNNNNNNNNNNNNNNNNNNNNNNNNNNNNNNNNNNNNNNNNNNNNNNNNNNNNNNNNNNNNNNNNNNNNNNNNNNNNNNNNNNNNNNNNNNNNNNNNNNNNNNNNNNNNNNNNNNNNNNNNNNNNNNNNNNNNNNUCCUCCGCUCCGCCGCCGCCACCGCCAACCCCGCAGUCGCGACGGCGGCGCUACUGCAACAUCGCCGCCGACCCGGAUGCUUGCGCGCAGCGCCGUCCCCGGCCACCUCCUCCGCUCCGCCGCCGACUCGGAUGCUUGCGCGCAGCGCCGUCCCCGGCCACCUCCUCCGCUCCGCCGCCGCCAUCAGUGUACCUUUGAUUUGUUCCAGCAAAGCAUCAAGGUGGAUUUUUAUCUGACUAGAGUUCAAAUGGCUCCUCCUCCUGCAGGACACUGGACAAGACAAUAGGAAACUUGGAGACUAAGCUUCCGGCUGCAAGGACACUGCAGGAGUCAUUCCUCAACGGCUCUCCGGUUUCACAGGAGUAUAAGGCCUUCGAGUCGUCUGGAAGGCACAAGUACCUCAUGAUCAUCAGCAUCAACACGGCUUUCAGCAUCUGUAAGAGGAGGGAUUCCAUCCGCAAUACCUGGAUGCCACAAGGUUUUUUUCUCCCACAUGGAAUUGUUCGUCCUUCUAUUCUUGAGGCAUUUUUGUGGCAUGAGUUAUUCAUGGUGGAAUGACCAUGGAAAACAGGAGAGAAGAGGAAAAAACUGGAGGAAGAGAAGGGCGUCAUAAUUCGUUUUGUCAUUUGUCACAGGUGUGCAACAUGAUUAUUUUUCAACCUCGGCUUGUCUCACAUUUUUCAGUCCAAUUGGUAAUGAUGAAUGGUUAUUUGGCACAAUUGCAGUGCUAUUUCAGGUGGAAUUGUGGAUAGAGCAAUCGCGACAGAGGAUAGAAAACAUGGAGACUUCAUGAGACUUGUAAGCUUGAAUUUAUCUGCUUUACUAACAGUUAUUAGUCGUUCCUACAAGAAAGUUGUUAGCCACACCCGUGGGAAUUGCCAAUGUAAUUGUUACGCACGGGAUUGAUAUCGCACUCGGUUAUUAUGUUUAUUCUUUGUGAUGUUUAGGCUCUGAACAUGGUCUGAUGUUGGGCCAAAGAUCCAAGGUCUGAAGCGUUCAAGCGGCAUCUUGCCAGGGUACCUGACUUCCUGUGGAUCUCAGAAGAUGGCAUGAAGGUGCAGGUAUGGUGAUAUUUUGGUUUUCAUGCACUUCUAGGUACUUUGUUGUGUUGCGCUGUUUUUGUUUAUGUUAUGUAGUGAGAAGAGAAUAUGUUUUCAUUACUUUUUGCCCUGAUUGGAUGAUUCAUGGAUGCGCUACUGCUAUCAAAUUAAAAUCAUGCUAAUUUACAGAUUAAUAAUUGAGAGGGAGAAAAUCAUUGCCAGUUUUACAUUCAGUGAUGCACAUUGCAUGUGCAGGAAUUACAAAAGCUAGAAAAACAUAUCGUUUUUAUAUUUACCUCUGAAAUUACAGGGGUGUGUUAAGAAAAGGUAACCAGUCCAUAUGUGCCUGGUAAAUUAUGAGUUAAUUUUUCAGCAUAACUUUGAUAUUUGGUCGUGUAAACUGGCAGCACGGAUACUGGUACAAUCAUAUGAACCUUUGUUUACAAUACCAGACGCCUUCAGUUGUUUCAGAAAAUUGCUAUACGUAUCUAGAAGUUCAUCGUGUCGCCGCCCCUGUUCAAUUGUUUCAGUUACUGUACAUGUCGCUGCCCCUGUUCUCUGAAUACAUGCUUCUCAUUUCUGUUCUCCCUAUGCAGGCUAGAAAUAAGAAGUUGCAGAUGGAGUUCAUCAUGUACCAGGAUUGGUUGAAGCAUGAUUCACUAACAUGGAUGAGGCCUGCAGCAUCCUACAAACUAGAACCAAAGUCAGAGUCUACUACUCAAGUCUGUGUCCAUGAAUUUAUUAUAGAUUGGUAAAGAAGAGGACCUCAUGUUAGCUUUGAUCUUAGCAGAGCCGGAGAUAAGCUUCAAACUGAAUUUAGGUGUUCAGUUUUUAGGGAUCAGUAGCCUCUUAAACCUUGGGCCUUGGUUCCGAACUGUUAAUCGGUAAAUUGAACUAGCAAUUGGUGAAAUGGCUUUAUGGAGUAUCCCAAUGCUCACUGCAAAUAUGGCAGUAUUCGGAUUUCUAACUUCUAAGCAUAUGUCCAUGCAAGCUCUGGGAUGCACUUUGCCAACGUUGUGUCAUGUGUUUGCAUCUUAGUAUCUUGUGUUAUUGGACAUAUGGAUGAAGAUCAUGAGCCAAGGAAAACCCCUCUCCCCUGCAUUCAGUGCCUUCCCAUGGGGCUCUCCCAUUCAUGGUGAUAAGCUGUCGGCCAACCGUGUGUUUAAUACGGCUAUGACAGGAGAAGAGCCUUUGCCGGCAAAGCGAGGCGCACGACUCACGUGCUCGAGGGAGGGGAUGCGAGGUGGUCUUUGGGUCUUUGGUGCCUUGCAAGUCCACGCGGUGGCUGUAAGCUCGGACCUUCUUUCUUCCUGGCCUCUCAUGGCUACACAGAGGUACAUAUUACAGAGCGCACUUGCAAGCCUUUCGUGUAGAAAAACAUUUAUCGGAACCAACUGAUUCAUGGUACCAUCUUGUUACUCUUGUUUAGACAUCGUCCAGGGGAGACGUAAUUUAAUCUAGCUGAUUUUUAGAGUUAUAAUCUCAAUAAGUGAAAUAUUAACCUCAUGAGAUCUCUUCACUAAUUUUAGAAUUGAAUUUUAGAUCCAAACAGAUUUAGUCCCCGUAGAAAUUUGUGAAUGGUGUACGUCCAAUCUGCUUUCGGCCAUAGCAACAUGCACAUACAAGGGCUUGCAAGCAGGAAUGAUGAUCGACUUUUGGGAGACUAGCAUGCACGAAGAAGCUAGCUAGAUAAACUUUCGGCCGUAGCUAAUAAAUAUACUCCAAUGCAUUUCUUCUCUGUUGAACUAUUUAUGUCGCAUUGCAGAUGCCUAAUUAUUGGAACUAUGAGCAAGUAGAUCAUCUUUACAAUCUCAACGAUUCAGUGAUGUUGAAGCUAAUCACUCGACUUCACUAGCUUCGCAACAUAUAAGGUAUUGCACCAAUUUUAAAUUUGAAGUUAAUUGGAUUGAUAACUUGGUACUGUAGACAUAAUGACUAGGUAUUGCUAAUUUUUCCAACAAAGCAAACUUAGGUUCAUAUGUUCCGAGGAGCCGUCCGCUGUUAAGGAGGAGGCAGUCGAGCCGCGGACGCCCGUGGCCUGGGCCAAAUGAGAGCAUUUGUUUCGUUUAUGCUUCCAGAUAAAAUUCAUUUACAUUUAGAGUUCGUGUUGAAGGUGUGGCGUUGGCCUCUGCUUGAGAUGAAUUGCCUCUAGGUUGUUCGUGUGUUGUGUUGUUAUUGUUCUUUGAGUAGCCGUUGGUUCCCCUUUUCUUUGUGUGUGUUUGUUAAUUACUUCCGUUUGUAUCUGUAAGGAAGAAUUAUCUCUACUUUGCCGUGGCAAUGAUCAAGCUUGACCGGAAUAUCUGUCACAAAAAUUCUCAGUUAAUACAUAUUUUAUAGAAGAAAAAAGCUGACAUAUUUACAAUUAUGUAGCGUAAUGUUAGAUUGAAGGUGAGGAACGAGGCCCAAAUUGUGAGCAAUCCAACCUUCAUUCUAAUGGCGGUAAUGUGUUAUGAACCCUUAUCAUGUGUAUAUUUGAAUUUAUGUGCAAGCAAGGACAUAUUUGACUAUUGAAGAAUAAGGUUUCAGCAAUCACAACAUUUUCUCUCCUUUUCAUUGUUAGUAUGAUAUGUCAUUGAUUGCCUUUUCUUUCUCUUGAGCAAGGAUAAUGAUUCAUAUCUGAAUGCCCAUGUAAAUCUCUAGCAUGGAUGUAAUAUUGUACUGUAACCCAUUGGUAGAAAAGUCAACACUAGGAGUCAAGCCGUUCUGUUUAAAACUUUCAAAACCGCUAUGAACUCUGGUAAGUGAUUAUAAUCCAGUCGGGCAAUGCAUCAUGACAUCUAAUUACUGAAUAUGCAGUACACAAUCAAAGUACCAACAGAAGUUCUGGUUUGCUGCCAUCUAUUAGCCUACUGAAAUUGUGAUAUGUGUUAUUUACUCGUAGCAGUUUCUGUAACUGUUAAGCUCACAUUGUUGUUACAUUUUCAUUUAAUUGGAGGUGAUAUUUUAUUUGUGCAGGUCCCUCAUUUGAUCUUAUUCUCUGGUGCCAGUGCUUUAUUUGGGGGUAAGUUUUUGCAAUGAAGUUCAGUAAUCAUUUUCUUAUCUAAAAAGGUUCUUGAAAUUAGCAUCUAUACUAAAUAUCCUUUGUAUAGAAAUUUGAAUAUUAUAGCUGAAACAUGAAACAUGUUAUUUUCUUGUUUUGUUUAUGCAUUGGUAAUCAUUGUAAAUCUACAUGGCCUGCACACAUUUCUGAAGGGUGCAUGCAAAUCCUGUAGUGAGGUUGAUAAAGAUUUUAGGUGCAAUAGAAAGGAAUUAUUUGAUCAGGGUGGGACUGGACAUGGGGUAUGCUUCAUUUUAGCAUUCUUUAAGCAUGGUAUCUACCUUGCCAAUUUCUGUUGUCCUCACAAAGUAAAAAUUAACAGCUGAGCAAUGUUACACAAGACAUAUCGUAUUCUUGCCAGUUCUACGAGUCUUAAAUUUCUUAGGUUAGCAAGACACGAUCUCGAACAGGAAGUGGGUCAUGUGCACUUUGGCAGAUUAGAGCGUAUGAUACAUCCUGGCUUGUUCCAAAUAUCUGAAGUCUAUUUUGUAUACUUAGCUACAUGUUGCCAGUCAUGUUGCCAACAUUAACUAGGCGCACUAGCAAAGAAUGGUUGUUUACUUUCUUUUUAUCCUCUGCCUGUUAUAUUGUAAAUUAAAAGUACUCCUGAAUACUCACAAGCCAUAUGGUGGAGCGUGUAAUCAAAGCAAUUGCAUUUUUGAGAGACAUAAUGCCAUAUAAUGCCUGAUCAUCUGUUACUCUGUUUCUUGCAGCAUAUGCGCUCCCAACGUUUUCUCAACUCACUGUGACAUCUUAUUAUGCUGCAUCAAGUGCCUCUCACCACGCAGUUUCACAUAUCACACGCCACAUCGAGAAGGCCCAUUUAUCUGGCGCUGCUGACGAGAAGUCUUGAUUACCUGCUUGCAUUGAGUUUGUUUGGUGCACAUGCCAUGUACAUGGUAUAUAUGGACUCCCUGCUUAUCCGAGACUACAAAAGAACAGAAAGGAAAGAAAAGGCGGAACGAACCAAGCAAAAGAGGCACGACAAAGAAGGCUACGGCACCCUUAACCAAGUUGUCUGGUGAGAGCGAGGACAACAAAUUUGUCAUGGAAGAAGCGCAGCUGAUGACGGUGGAGAAGGUGGUGUUGUCCGAUUGCACGCCGUCCCGCAGCAUUGCGUCCCAGAGCGCCUCCGUUUUGCUCCAGCGCUGCCGCUUGCGCAAACACCUUGAGCACGACGUUGUACAGGAUGACCUUGUUGCGGACCUCCGCGUUCUCCAGGAACCAGCGCAGCGCGAGCACAGUGGUAGCCGGGUUGCCGGCGGCCGUGUUGAGCAUGAUGGCCGGUCCUGCUCGGAGGGGGCCUCGGGGAAGGCGGCCUCGAGCGCAGCAGCGACGGGUGCCUCGGCGGGCUCGCACGCGGCGAGCGCUACCGCGGCGGUGGUGAGGCGGGCCCGGCGUCUAGAUCCGGCGCGCGCGCGGGCGAGUUCGGCGGCGCGCGGGCUGUUGGGGUUUACCCAGAGAAACCUUGCAGUGCUGGAAAUCUUGGGGUUCUGGCCAUCGGUUAUAUUAGGCUCGAUGGUGUAUCCGACUUACAUCGGUUAACAGUAAGUCUGUGUGAUGUCGGUAGCACCAAUAACGACGAUGAUAACAACGUUCAUCUCGUCUCCAGGUAUAUAAUUUCUUUUUUAGUUAAGGUGGUUCCUUGCUUUUUUAUUACAAUAUUUCUUACAGUAAUAUGAAGGUGUGGUAAUAUGAUUCUGUUUCACAAUGUUGCUAUUCCGUUUACAGAGGUUAGCCAUAUUAUAACAUGCUUACGAGCUUUUAUUUGCCAAACCAUAGGAAGUGGUAUUUGGUGCCGCUUUGCAGUUGUAGAAGUAGAAACACACCCCCACAAUCUAAAUAAUUAGUGUUUAGUUGCAAAUAUGUUCCUAAAUUUAUACUCCCUUUGUCCCAUAAUAUAAGAGCGUUUUUUGUAUUAGUAUAGUGUUAAAAACGCUCUUAUAUUACGGGACGGAGGGAGUAUAAGAUAUUUGCUUUAGAUCACUUCCUUACUGUCCUCGAACGAUAUUGUGAAUUUGUUUGGAGGAAUAAAUUGGUGCUUUUAUAUUUUUCUGUGUAGUUGAUUAGUUAUCUCUAUGUUCUGAAUAUUGCAGGCCAAUGCAUGAGAUAGCAUUAGCAUUUGCAUCAACUGAUAAGCCAAAGCUACUUAGUCAGUUAAACAAACGUAGCAGGACAAGGCAUAAUCCCCAUCUAAGUAGGCCUCUGCUGUCAUGACAUUGUAAUUUUAUUUACAGAGUUGGUCAACCUGCUAUUAGCACAGCAAACGAAAUUCAGUAUAUGCAGAAGCUGGCAAGUAGUCGGUAAGAAAUGAAACAAAAAAAUAAAUGAAUAGAAGAAGAAUUUAAAUAAAAUAAAAUAUAAGAAACAAGCUAUCAAGAUGCAUUGACAGCAGAAACAUAAUGUGCCAUGGUAACCCAAAUGUGAAUUAGCUAUCAUGAAAACCACUUAAAAGAAUUAUUGUAAAUUUUGUAAAUGGCAUUAUUGCGGAUCUUAAAGGUAUCAUUGUAAAUUAGAGUAUCCUUUUUAUAUAUCUUCUUUUCACGAGACAAUUAAACUAUCUGAGACAAGCGCAUUGCAUAUCUAUGUGUUUAAACUAGGAACCAAUAAAUCACUUGGUUUAUUUGACUGCAUUUUAAAACUAUGUGUUUAAACCAGUUUAAGAUGCGCGAUGGUGAUGACAUGGACAACAUAUGGAGUAGUUCGUCACGGAGGUCAGUGGGCAGGAAGUGCCUUGUUUCCUUUGAGCUGCUCGAGAGAGUGACGAAAUCGGUGCCCAUGAUCCACGCCCACAUGGUGUUUUUCGAGCUGUCUCAAGCUGGGGGAGAUAUGUGUCCUAUCUGCUGACGCAAGGUGUCAACUCUGCUAAAUUAGUGAUUGCUAAAAUCCAAGGUGCUAUGUGAUUCUUUAAAGGCAUCACAACUUUAUCUUGUUGUCAAUGAGAUUUUUUUUCAGAUUUAUAUUAUUUUUCUUUGGAUUGGUGAAGUUUUUUAAAGUUUUACAAUGUAUUUGAUGCAAACAUAACACUGUCAAAAUCUUGGUUUUCAUUCAAAGGAAAGAUGUGCCUGGGGUACUUUGUUAAUCCCCUUUUCAAAUAUGAUUACAUGAUACUGUAUAUUUCUUGAUCAAUUAAUGGUGUAUUUUUAUGCGUGGUGCUAUGAGAAAUAGUGGAUUUUGUGUAUUCGAAGUAUCAUGGUCAUACAUGUCUUUCCAUAUCAUACAACAUGGGUCAUUUUAUGAUGAACACACAAUAAAAAUAAAGCAAAGCAAAGGGAAAACAAGAAUUUGUUCUGAGAUAGUCAUACAUCGGUAACAUCGCAUACACAUUAGCCUCAGUAUAGACAUUAAUUAUAAAACAGAAAAUGCAGGUAAUCAAUCUGUAUGUAUAGUUUUUAAUAAUAGAGAUUCCGUGGCAACGCACGGGCAGCCAACUAGUUUAAAGUAACUACAAUAUUGUGCUUGGCUCUGAGGGGAUAAGAACCAAAUUAAAUUAGUUGUGAAUAAACUGCAUUCAUUAAUCAUCUCUGAAGUCAAAGGAAAAUAUAAAUACUGAGCCACAAAGACCCCAUGUCUCUACAAUUAUGUUUGUGAAUGUCAUAGUAGUAGACUUUUUGAUAUAUGUACAAAACAUAAUACUUUGUGAGUACUACAUAAAUGUGCUCUAUGUAGAAAUUAUUAGCCCUCUAUUUUUCAUAGACCUCGUUAUCCACCCUUCUUGCACUAGGCCAGGAACAAACUUGAUAGUAAAUGACACAUGAGUAAAAAAUAUAUUGAUGGAUGUGAGCAAAAACCAUUAUUGUUCAACAUUAUUUUAGGCGCGACAAACAACAACUUUUAUUUGAGUAGGAAAAUCAUAACACCUAAGUGAGGAGUCGAAACCACCUUGAGAAAAAAGCCUUAUGCUCGUGAAUAAGAAGUUUUGGUUUCAGGGAUCCAUGGAGCUCUUCAUUAGAAAAAACAAUGAGUAUAUGUAGGACUCAAAAAAAUAGCCACAAGGGAUUCUCCAAAAGUGGUAACUUUUGGCACACUGAAUUUUGUUUAUGACGUGACAAAGAAUUAACUUAAAAGAAAAGGGUAAGAACCCGCAAUCAUUGAUCAAGCUCCUAGGUGGAAUAAGAAAGCAACCGCACAUAUAUGCGUAUGUACUAUUAUGUCCUAUUGAGCAAUUUAAAUACAAUGAGUUGUUGGUUGAUGAUAGGGAAAUCCAAUUCAGCUCUUGCGAGCAUACGGUACUGCCAACCAAAAAUGUUUUUUGUAAAUGUCAAAAAAAAUUGAAAAAUAAUUGAUGUGUUCUUUGUCACACACAAAUGCUAUCUUCAAUUUUUUAGUGAAAAAUCAUAAGCAUUUUGAGCUGUGUGAAAAAAAAAUCAAACGCCAAAUGUUACACAUAAUUUUUUAUUUCAUCGACGAAGUACCGCUAUCCCGUUUUGCAUGAAAAUUGUCAAGACGCUUGUUAGACUAAGAUGAACAUCCAUACAAAAAAGUAAAUUUUAAAAAAUUUGUUUAUGAAUUAUUUUAAAUUAACUAUUCAUCAGGGAGCAUAUGCUCCCAAGAGCCGAAACGGCCCUCCCGUUGAUGAUAUGUCUACCUUUUCCAGCAAACUACAAUACAAAGUAUUAGAGAGGCUCCAACAAUUUAAGCAUAUGUAUACAUCGGAAUGAGCAAAAAUAUGAAGAAUAUUUUCAGCCGUGACUUGUAUAGAAAGGAAAAUAUCCUGAUCUAAAAUAGCCAGUAACACAACUUCCGUAGGAAGCCAGAGUAGAUCAAUUGUUUUUUUUUUUUUUUUNNNNNNNNNNNNNNNNNNNNNNNNNNNNNNNNNNNNNNNNNNNNNNNNNNNNNNNNNNNNNNNNNNNNNNNNNNNNNNNNNNNNNNNNNNNNNNNNNNNNNNNNNNNNNNNNNNNNNNNNNNNNNNNNNNNNNNNNNNNNNNNNNNNNNNNNNNNNNNNNNNNNNNNNNNNNNNNNNNNNNNNNNNNNNNNNNNNNNNNNNNNNNNNNNNNNNNNNNNNNNNNNNNNNNNNNNNNNNNNNNNNNNNNNNNNNNNNNNNNNNNNNNNNNNNNNNNNNNNNNNNNNNNNNNNNNNNNNNNNNNNNNNNNNNNNNNNNNNNNNNNNNNNNNNNNNNNNAAUUUUUUUUUUUUUUUUUUUUGAGUGUAGAGUAGAUCAAUUGCUGAACUAGUGAAUUAUUUACAACUUUUUGAUGCAAACCAAAGAAGAUGUCAAGAGACGGCACAUGAACACGCGGCUCGAUUAUUACCGUUAAAUAAACAAAACACAGCCUUGGUUAUUUAGUAUUUACAGCCGGAAUCCGAAGCGGAGGAAGAAGAAGCAGAGCCUGGCGAGGACGACGAGGGACUCGAUCACCCACAGCAGCCGGAACACCACGCUCUCGUACAAUAGCCGGAGGAGGUGGACGCGCGGCAGCCGUCUCCUCUGCCGCCGCAGCGCCGUGGUCAGCGCGCGAACGCGCAGCAGCGACCCGCCACCGGCCGCCGCCGUCAUCUUCUUCCGUAUCCAAUCCCGCUUCCUCCCGCCGGCCAUCGGCGGCAAUCGAUCUUCAGGUCGCCGGUGGUCGCACGUUCGCCUCCGUUUCACUGUUUGGAUGGUACUAACACGGUUGCUCUGUGGACUCUGGGAUGUCUCGAGUCUUUUAUGCUAGAGUGCGACGCGGUUUUGCACUUGCAUCAACACAAUUUUUAACAUCUGAAUAUGGAUUGAGCCGGCAGAUUGACCUGACUGGAUGUGCUGGUUCAAAACUGAGAUGGUCAAGAGCGUAAAAGUCACCACCCGGCAACUUCGUGGAGGAUCAUGCGCCAGAGCCGUGUCAUGUGCAGUGACGAUCUCUCGUGGAGGUUUUGGCUUUGACGUUAGCCGCAGGUAGGGUGGACCGGAGACAAGUAUUCGUUUUGUGUUCUGGCCUUCCUUGUGCAAUUGCUAUGGUGCAGUUGGUGGCUGAUGGGUGGGUGGCUUGGUUGGUGGUUAUUCUGCUCAUGUUGCUGACCUGGUUUCCAAUUUUGCUAUGUCAACUGUUUUUAAGGUCAUGUUUGGAACCACUCAGAUUGUAUAAUCUAGUUUUUUUUUAAUUUAUUUUGUCUUCAAACAGAACAGAUUAUGGUGUAGAUUAUAAAAAGUAGAUGGACAGAUUAUAAAAAACUCACAAUCUACUCUACCCAGCUAAAAUUAGAUUAUGGAUUGCUAAUGACUCAUUACCCUUGUAAAGUUGAAGAUAAUUACAUUUCUGCCAACGCCACCCUCCUCUUUUGAAAAAAAAACAGAGGACAGACAGGUCAAUAUGCAAUAUAAAACCUGGAUUACAGUUUAGAUAAUCUGGUUUCAAAUAUGCAUACCUAAAUUAUUUAUAUAAACCAGAUUAUAUAAUCUAUCUUCAUAAUCCAGAUUAUCAUAAUCUAUUAUGGUUUCAAAUAAGGCCUAAGUUUGCUUAGAGCCUGUACAGCCGGCUGCCCCAAACCCGUCGUAAACAUCCGAACGGACGGACCGGUCACAAAAAAGUUGACCCACCCGGUCUCAAAUCGGCUUACGUUUGGGUUGUUCGACGCCCCUCAUAUCCAGCCCAAAUCUAGGAUGGAUAUAAGGCAGCCCGGACACGCCCGUGCACGUUCACCAUGUCGGAACCGACAUGCCCGACCCACCAUCCCAUGGAUGUCCCACAAAAUCCUCAAUCUGUCUCUUCCUCCGAACCCUAGCUCACUUACACUCUUAUUUCUCCUCCGUACCCUCUUUCCUCUCUGAUUUCGUUUGAAUCGGGCGUGAUGUCGGGCUUCGACGGUCACUCCGGCUCCGACCUCGACUAUGAUGAGGAGCUUAUUCUCCGCAUUGCCUUGGACGGUUCAAGGUGGACACCAGGGACAACUCUGGACCUGCACUGUUGUCGAACCCUCACCAGCACAGCACGGAACCCGGCGAGGAUAAGUGGACCCUCGCUCGGGCGUAUCGCUGGUCGCUGACGACGACGGACACGGAUGCUCGCCUCCUACGGCGGAAGAACGUGAAGGUGCUCCGUCUUUCUAUUGAGCAGUCGGAACACGAGACAAAGGAGGGAGCGGAGGAGGUGGCUCUCGUCGCCAAGUUGAAGGGGCAGCAAGGCAGGGCCAUCCGUCGGAUGAAGGGGUUGAUCAUCCCCUCUGAUUCCUCGUCCGGUGACGGCGGCGACUAUAGCUCCACCUCUUCCUCCGACGACCAGGAUCCUCCAUCAAAUGCGGACGCCUACAACUUCGUCGGUGACCGGAAGGGCAAUGGCCCGAUGCGGAGGUGGUGAUAUCGCUCCUCCUCAUAUGUUUAUUACCUUUUUAGUUGUUGAAGUUUAAGAACUUGUCCGGCGACGAACUCCAGUGAUCUUUUGGAUGAUGUAAAGCUUGCUUAUGUGCAUUUGGUUGUUUGUUUGAUGCAAAUUUCGUUGUUUGUUGUUUCAUCAUGUAGAGUAGCUCAUCAUGUUGCACGUGUAGUAUGUAUACAGGAUGCCGGAUAUGAGGUAUGCGAAUUUGGAGAAGAAAAUAUGAGGUGUGCACAGUCAGUACCCAUGGACGCGCCUUGAUGCGUCCACAGGCGAGGGACCGAGUUAGCUCAUCACGACUGUAAAUGCUCUUAGACAGAUUUUGUUAUCUGCCUAUCUGCUGACAGGGUAGACGCUAUAUUAUCCAGUUAUUAUCCUAAAUAGUUUUUUUUUACUAGUCUGCUCUGUUAAUACAGAAAUAGGUAAAAUUGUACUGCAUUUGUCAACUUACCAGAUAUUUGGUGUUUUAAGUUUUGUUUUGUUUUUCAACAAUGUCACUACCCGAUAUUGGUGUCGAUCGUGAGCCUUGACAUGCGGGAUUAAACCAUCGGUUUGCUGUUAGAACGAGCAAAUCUGUGAUCGAUGGCCUCAAAGGUGGUUGUUAUUUGAGAUUUUCGUUGAUUUGUGGUUGUUGCAUGUUAUCCUAGACUCAGUUGUGAUGGUUUCAUGUAGUUACCUCACUAUUGUACAACACAUUAAAACAACUAAUAUAGGUAAUAUUUUCUUGAUGCAGAGAAAUAGAGGAUUGAACUAACUGAUACCAAGUAAACCUAAAAUAAUAGGUUAACUACUAAAUAAACAAUGGAAAUGAAAGGUACCAAUCUAGAACAUAACAAAUUGAACCCUUGAGCUGCCAUGUCAAAACUGGGCACAAAAUAGAAUAUGUGGAAAAGGAUUUGUGACUAGGUUUUCCAAACCGAAGUAGCAACAUUGGCAAGUUGAGGAGGGGUCGGGCGGCAACACGUAGAGUACGACGAUUAGCGUCGUCUCCUCCCAAAUGCGCGAGUCACUCAAGGGCUAUGAAUUGCAUGGGUUGGAGAGGUUUUCAUGGAUCGAUGGUCGCUAGCCCAGGGAAACUCUAUCCACCAAAUGACCUCGCAGGGAUUUCAAAACCGUCCAUGCAGAAAUAAUCCCAUCAAAACCGUCCUAAUCCCUUUCUACAAAACGAGGUUGAAAGGGGUAAUUUCUAACAAGGGCCUUGAGCCACAAGUUCUGGAAAAAAAAAUCUUCUAGUUGCUGCCUGGCUACUGAGGGCAUGGGAAUUACUGAUUGCCUCUUUGGAGAUCAUGAUUUUGGGGCACAUUGAAUGUAACGUGGUUUAGGACUGCUCGUCAACUACCUAUAAUUGUUGGAGAUGUUAACUAUGAUCCCUUAUUCCCUUUUGGAUAUGGGGUGAAAAUGUUCACAAGUGAUGAUGGUUUAACAUAAAGAAUCCCCUAUUUGCCACAUUUUACGGCAAGUAGUCGAGGCUCCACACAGGGGAGAUCAAGCGAUCCUUCUAACUGGGUCGGCCCAUUCAAGUGGAACAUCUCCAUGCUGUUUUGCUGGUUUUGGGAACCUUCUAGAGGUUUCCACGCGGUUUUUUUCGGUUUUGGGAAACCUCUAGAAGGUUUUCUGAACUGGUUUUCUAUUUUUUUUUCUUGUUUUUCUUUUCUGUUUUUGUUUUAAAAAUGUUCUGGAUUUCAAAAAAUGUUUUGGAACCUUCUAAAAGUUUCCAAAACAAGAAAAAAGGAUGGCAGCCUUCUCAAAACCGGGAUCUAUGAAAAGUCCUAUUGGGCCAGCUUGUUAAAAUCGGUCGCCUCGUCUCUCUUGUGCGUUUGUCCGACAACUCGCCGCUACCAUUUUUUUUCUUUUUUUUUAUUAUUCUUUAUUUUAUUUUGCGUUUAUCUUUCCCUUUUCCCUAAAACUUUUUUGAUAUUUUUUGAAUUUCUGUAACUUAAACAGCUUUUGUAUUUAUGAAAAAAUGGAAAUAUUUUUGAAUUUCUGAACAAAUUAAAAAUAAGAAAAAAAUUAAAACGGGAGAAUUUAAAAAACUUAGAACAAUAUAUUUAAGAAAAUAAUAUUUUUUAAAAAUUUGUAAACAAUUUUUAAAGAGGGAACAUGUUUUCAACUUAUGUGCACUUUAUGAAAUACGAAUAUUUUUUGAGCUUGCGUACAUUUUUGGAAAGGCAAACAUUUUUUCGAAAAUGAAGAACAUUUUAUAAAUACCCAAAAAAUAAUUCAUGAAGAUUUAUAGAAUCGGUGAAAAUAUUUGAAUAACUUUUGAAUUUGUGAACAAAUUUUAAAAAUAGAGAAACAUUUUUUGUAAAACAGAAACCAUUUUUAAAAAAUGCGAAAACAAGAAAACGUUCUGAAAAUUGUGACCGAAUUAUGAAAAAGGGAGCAUUUUUUGAAAUUUGUAAACAAAUUUUGAAGCGUGAACAUUUUUUCAACUUAUGUACACUUUNNNNNNNNNNNNNNNNNNNNNNNNNNNNNNNNNNNNNNNNNNNNNNNNNNNNNNNNNNNNNNNNNNNNNNNNNNNNNNNNNNNNNNNNNNNNNNNNNNNNNNNNNNNNNNNNNNNNNNNNNNNNNNNNNNNNNNNNNNNNNNNNNNNNNNNNNNNNNNNNNNNNNNNNNNNNNNNNNNNNNNNNNNNNNNNNNNNNNNNNNNNNNNNNNNNNNNNNNNNNNNNNNNNNNNNNNNNNNNNNNNNNNNNNNNNNNNNNNNNNNNNNNNNNNNAACUUAUGUACACUUUUUAAAACACGAAAAAAAUAGUUUUGUGCCGCCUUCAUGAUUUGGACAUGAAGAAUGUUGCCUUGCUAAGCACGUGUUUGUUUAAGCUACACACAACUGAUGGAGUGUGGCAACAGUUGAUACGCAAUAAGUACUUAUGUAGUAAGUCUUUGUCACAAGUUCAGUGGAGAGAUGGAGAUUCACACUUUUGGGCUUGCCUCAUGAAAGUGAAGAGAGAUUUUCCCGCUUUGGUACUUUCGCGAUAAAGAAUGACACCCAAAUCAAGUUUUGAGAGGACAAGUGGUUGGGUAAUAUCCCGCUCCAGGAACAAUAUCCAAAUCUUUACUACAUUGUAAGGCACAAACAUUCUACUGUGUCAGAUGUCCUCCAAACUUACCCCUCCNNNNNNNNNNNNNNNNNNNNNNNNNNNNNNNNNNNNNNNNNNNNNNNNNNNNNNNNNNNNNNNNNNNNNNNNNNNNNNNNNNNNNNNNNNNNNNNNNNNNNNNNNNNNNNNNNNNNNNNNNNNNNNNNNNNNNNNNNNNNNNNNNNNNNNNNNNNNNNNNNNNNNNNNNNNNNNNNNNNNNNNNNNNNNNNNNNNNNNNNNNNNNNNNNNNNNNNNNNNNNNNNNNNNNNNNNNNNNNNNNNNNNNNNNNNNNNNNNNNNNNNNNNNNNNNNNNNNNNNNNNNNNNNNNNNNNNCCCCCCCCCCCCUGUUACAAUGGAGGAGAGACCUUGUCGGGCCAAAAUUAGUAGCAUGGAAUAAUUUACUUCUUCGAAUUGCUAAUAUUGUUCUUACACAUGAGCAAGACGUUUUUCGCCGAAACUUAACUCCUGAUGGGGUGUUCUCGGUCAAGUCUCAUUAUCUUGCUUUUGUGCAUUAUGAUGUUCCCAAUAUCAACAAAAGCAUGUGGAAAAUUAGGGUGCCGUUCAAAGUUAAGAUAUUUCUUUGGUACUUACGAUGUGGAGUAGUUCUAACAAGGGAUGACUUGGCUAAACAUAAUUGGCAAGGCAGUAAAAAUUGUUGUUUUUGUCACAAAGAUGAGACUAUCCAGCACCUUUUCUUUGAAUGUCGCUUUGCAUGAGCCGUUUGGUCUAUUAUACAUGCGGCUUAAGGGUUGUUCCCACCUCAAAGUAUGUUACAUAUGUUUAGUGGUUGGCUAUGGGGCAUAAAGAAGGACCUAAAACGACAAGUCCUGUUAGGGGCGGCAAAUACUUAUUGGUCGCUUUGGUUAUGCAAAAAUGAUGUAGUUUUUAACAAGAAAAAAAUUCAUCUCCUCUACAGGUUAUUUGUUCAGUUACUGACUGGCUCUGUACCUGGGCUAUUCUUCAAAAGCCGGGUACUCAGAAGUUGGUUGCAGCGGCGUGUCAACAUUUGGAGCGGAUGGUUAAGGAGUAUUUUACCCAGGAGCAUGGGUAACGGUCUAGUCUAAGGAUUGACGGUCCAUAACUCUUUUGUGUUAUUCCACUUGUUAUAAAACUCUUGUGUGUGUAGGUUGUCUGCAUUCUAGUUAUGCAGAGGUCGGNNNNNNNNNNNNNNNNNNNNNNNNNNNNNNNNNNNNNNNNNNNNNNNNNNNNNNNNNNNNNNNNNNNNNNNNNNNNNNNNNNNNNNNNNNNNNNNNNNNNNNNNNNNNNNNNNNNNNNNNNNNNNNNNNNNNNNNNNNNNNNNNNNNNNNNNNNNNNNNNNNNNNNNNNNNNNNNNNNNNNNNNNNNNNNNNNNNNNNNNNNNNNNNNNNNNNNNNNNNNNNNNNNNNNNNNNNNNNNNNNNNNNNNNNNNNNNNNNNNNNNNNNNNNNNNNNNNNNNNNNNNNNNNNNNNNNNNNNNNNNNNNNNNNNNNNNNNNNNNNNNNNNNNNNNNNNNNNUAGUUAUGCAGAGGUCGGGAAUGAUCUCAACAUGAUUAUAUCAUCUUGAUGUAAUGAUCUGUGUUUACUAAAAACUUUCCUUUAUCAAAAACAUCAGCCCGAGACCGAGAGGCGCUUGUGGCCGUGGUCGGCGACCGUAAUCUGGCGCCGGCUAUGCGACGGAAAGGCAGCGGGGGAGAGACCGAGAGCUGCGAGCGAGAGAGAGGUCACACGUAGAGGGUCUCAAAAUACGCAACAUCUCAAACAUUUAUGGCUUUUUUUAUGUAGAAGAAAUGGGGACGGGGCAGUAGCCAAAUGGCUGUCAUCACAGUGCUCCGGGUCAAAUAUUAAUUCUGUUUCUCAUUUAUUUUGCAAAUUUCCAACGUUGCAGGGAAUUUUUUGUCUUUUGCUAAUUUUUGGACUAAGAGCGUCACCUAUUCUGUAAUUUGUUGGACUCUUGACAACUUUGACAACUUUAACCGAUCCCUAAAAGACUUAUAUUUAGGAACGGAGGGUGUAAUUGAUACUGUAGGUGCUGCAUGCAAAAUACAAUACAUGUUAUUCUAGGUUUACUUGCAUAUUUCUUAACUGAAUUGUGUUUUCAGGAUUAUCAGACACUGGCUGAACUUUUAGCUGCAUGUUCUUAGUGGGAAAGUCUAUAUUUAUCACUUAACUAAAGAGACAUUGCUAAGAAAAAUCCUGUCUGGUCAAAUUGCUGAAAUAUUUAAUUAAGAAAAAAAAUAUGACCUUCGCAUUUGGCAAGGUUUGUUGUGCCGCUGGAGUUGCAGCCAGGGACGGUCUUGAGAUUUUAGGGGCCCGGGGCGAAACUAAAUCUUGAGGGCCGUUAAUAUAAGUGCUAUAAUAUUCGACGUAUAUGUAAUCACUGUAUAUAAGAUGACUUAUGGAGAAAAUAAACAAAGGAGUGUCGUAUAUCCAUGACAAGAAAACUUUAGCAACACAAACAAUAAAAAAUUUCACAGCAGUGCAAAGCCAUGUUUAGUGUCGGGCUUAGUUUAAUUAUAUGAGUACAUGAUAUAUUUGAGGUGCCGAAUGGCAGAAAAUGGUUAAAAAUAAAUAUGUAUAAUCAUUCUAAAUAGCAAUAUCUAAAAAAUUAAGAAAGAUAAGCGAAUUAAUAUGAAUGAUAUGCAAAUAUUACUCCAUAUCGAUGUUUUGAAAAUCAAAUCAAAUAGUGCUAAAGUUAGGCUUAUUUAGUUGGGUAAAUGAGUAAAUCAAGAGUUAAUUACCACAUCUAUAUGGUCACUCGGCAGUUCGUUUUAAAACUAAUCAAGAUCAGCAUCUAGAACAUCACUAUGUUCAUAAUCAUUUUGAGAUAUACACUACAAAUAUCGUUAUUAAACUACGAAAAUAUAACGGUUCAUGAGGCAUACCGUGGAAGACUCGGUGGCCCGCCGAAGUGUCCUAUUCCUUGCAAUCGGGGCCUCUCCUCGAGCAAAGCUUCUUUGGUAAUCUAUGACGAUCUAGACGAAGGUGAAAGGCGUCGGUGUUAGGUUUGAGGUGCGUGAUGUUGGCUCCAAUAAUCUCGUUAUGUUUGAUCCUAAUUGAUACCACAUGCCUUGCUUAGCAGAUUUUUUUUGAAGGAAAAUUAUGUACAACUAAGUGUCAGGCCCAAUAACCAAUUUUUAAGUGCAAAAUAAGAAACAUCCGUACAUGCCCAAUUAACUUCGGGUACAUGCCCAAUUAACUCCAGCUACCUGCGAUCAGCAAGAACGAAGACAACUAGUACAAAGCGUACCGGAUUACAGCCACUCCUUGUUGUGUUAUGCCUGGAGGGGGGCCCUAACUUGGCGGGGGCGCAGGGCGGCCGCCCCUCUCGCCCCGCCCCCUCAGGGCCGGCCCUGGUUACAGCAGCCGAGCUGCAACGACAGGCCUAGCGCCAGCUCGCUCAGUUGCGUCACCAGGAACUCCUCGUUCAUCGACUGCACACGGUUUCAAAGAUCUAUUAACGUGGAAUCUAAUUUUAAAGUUGUCGACACAAGAAUUACAAUGGCAUAAACGGUUUACGACUUGGAUGCACGAUUUAAAAGAUAAAACGUUUUGAAUAACGAAUUUAUGAAAAAAGAGAAAACUCACAUGUUGAGACAACUGACACACAUGCACUGCGCCACUUAUCACAACCUGAAAAGGUGGGAGUGACCUUUGCAAGGGAUAUCCUUAACAAGUGAUGCUAGUAUGGCGUUUCAUGACAUGCAUGGUAGAUUGUUUAAUUAAAGAUGGUCUUUAGGCCUAUAUAAUAAAAUAAUUCUUGUAACUUCACAGAAGCCCGUGUGGUUUUCAUGACAUGGUGGGAAAUUUCACACGCCUCGCUUCCGGCUGCCAUCUUGACGAUGAGAGGUGGGGGGGCUCGCAUCUUCAAGAGUUCUACAUUCUUCGUCAUUGUCUAUUGAUAAUCGUAUUUUAUAAGAAUAAAUUUACUCUCAUUCUUUCGGUGGUGCCAUGAGGUUAGAGAGUUUUUUUGUCCUUGCAGAUCCAAUUAUUUGGAUCUGCUGAGUUUUUGUUGGUGUGUCAAACUUUUUUUGUUGAUUUAAUUCUUUGUGAAGUUGAAAUCCUUCGUCGACAACACGGUGAAGAUAUUGUGAUCUGAGGGCCUGCACUUCUAGGGGAUCAUCCCGGCCAAAGUACAUUUAAGGCUUCCCAUCUUUUUGGAUGAUUUGCUCAAGACGCUUUCAAAAAACAUUAUUGUUAUUAUCGUGUGGGUAAAAGAGUGAAAACUUCGUUGCUCCUGUCCAAUUGCAACCUCUUCACCGAAGUCUUUGAAGUAUUUUUUUCUAGCAGAGAUUGAUGCAAUGAAGAAGGUGUUUCCAAGAGAAUUCACUGUAAUUCUUAGUCAUAUGAGUUAACUUUGUACUUUCUAGGAUCCUAGAUUCAAAUCACCGUACCUGUAAUUGGUAUGAUUAUGAAUAAAACUCGACGAUGCUUCGAGCGUUGAGGCGAAAACCUUGUUAAAAAAGUAUGGAUAAGUGGUAGAAGACUAAAAUUAAUGCAAAAAACAAAUAUAAAACUUUCUUACAUGACUUAAUUUCCUAUGAAAAAAUAAUGCAUGAGGUGGUAUGUUUUGCAUGAAGAGAUUAAUGGAAAAAGUAACUUAUGACUCCAUGCAUGACUUGAUGAUGUGGCAUUGUUGCAUGGAGAAGAAAAUUAGCUAGUGGGUUAUAGCUAAUUAAGAAUAGAGGAUUACAUGUGUUUCUCAAAAACAAACGGUUGUGGAGGAGAGUUGAGAUACACGGCGCCUAUUGGAGGCAUUGUCUACCCUAGCCACCAAUAGAACAGAUCACAUCUGCUCUACCUACUCGUGUUUCAAAAUCACUAUCUUUCCUCUUGCUUUGUUGCUUCCAACCAAUUCCAUCCCGACUACCGUGUGCACUGUUGUUUAGGGAACAGAUCUCCGGCACCCCAUCCUUUGCGAUCCUACAUCGGGAGAAGGGCGAUAAGGUUUUUAGGGAGCAUUUUGGAGCGACUACUUGCUUUGUUCGUCUACUAUGACUGCUUCCUCAAAUUCCUCACCAAUGCCACGAUGAAUGUUGCUGGAGCUGCCGCUACGGCUAUGUCCUUUCCAAUUGGAGGAUAUGAUAUAUGCAUCCCUUAUUUAGUAGUUCAUGUGUUAGCCAUAUACUUGCUACUAUCAUAGAUUUACCUGUUCUAUUUCUAGUCAUGUUCUCACGUGUAACUUCCAAUAAAUGAAAUUAAUAUUGUGAGCGCUAUCAUUAUGAUCUAUCUAUGAAUGAAGUUAAUCAGAAAAUUUCUAAUGUACCCAACAUGUGCAUCUUUAUACAUAGAAACUAGAUACGCCCGGUGUGACACUGUGAUUUUAUCGGCAAUGAACUUAUCAAAAGUAAAAUUAGAAUAUAUUUGAGUAGUGUCGUACCACAUUCAACCUAGAGGUAAAUGGAGGGUGGAUGCAUGCUAUAUUGUCUUGUGACAUUCAAAUUAAAUUCUUUAUUGUUGAAAACAAAAAAUUUAACAUUAAUGAUGUGGAUGUCCUUCAUGUGUUUGAUGAUGUGGAGGGUUUGCGUGUGGUGCAAAGUGAAAAGUGGCUAGUUGAGUGCUUGCAUGACCUUUGAUGAUGUGGAGGAUGUGCAUGUGGUGGAAAGUGAAAAGUGAAACAUCGAUUGAUUGCAUGCGCUUGAUGAUAUGGAUGGCCUGCAUGUGCAUUUAAACAGAAGUCAGACAUGUGUGCGGGAUAUUUGAUAAGGUGGAUAAAUUGCAUGUUAAUCUUAAUAAGACAGAUUGGAUGAACUAAAAGGAUUGGCGUUGAACUCUUGUAUAUAUGUAACAACUUGAGGCAGCAAUAAAUUUCAAUAAAGCUUCUGCAUAAUAAUAUUAAAAAUAAGAAACCAAUAAAGAUAGUCUGACUGCAAUUGCAACAAAGCUACUGCAUAAUAAUACCAAAAGAAAACAUAGCACAUAACUUUACGGACGCGGAUUUUUGGCUCUCGGGAGCAUAUGCUCCUUAAUGAACAAUAAAAUUAAAAUAAAUACUAAAUAAAUUUUAAUUUUUUAAUUUUUUGUAGAUGUUCAUAUUAGUGUGGAAAGUGUGCUUGUUAAUUUUCAUGUCAUAUGGGAUAGCGGUGUAUAGUUGGUGAAAAAACAAAAUUAAGUGUAACAUUUGGAGGUAACAUUUGACAUUUGACUUGUUCUUUUUGCACAGGCCAAAAUGCUUAAGUUUUUCACGUGCAAAUUUGCAUGUACCAUUUGGGUGUGACAACGAACACAUCUAUUUUUUUUAUUUUUUUGACAUUUGUAAAAUCCAUUUUUGACGUGUAGGAGCAUGUGCUCCCUAGAGCCUUGAGUUGAUGGUCCGACUGAUGUGGUAGGCGUGUUGUGUACAAGUGGUGUGUAUUCAAACGACAUCGGUCAUACGUCCGGCGGCUUCCAGGCCCAGCCCACUGUUACUGCUCCGCAAUUAUAUUGCACCCAUUUGCAAUAGAGAAGACCUUAUCCUAGUCUUUGUACUGUGUAUUGGGAUCCAGUCAUGCGUGUUUCUUUAUAUCUUUAUAUAAAGCAUGGUUCAUAAUUGGCACUAUAUAAAGUGAGUCUAGGUCAGUACCACUAGCCUAUGGGUUUAUAUAUAAAGAGAGCGAGUCAUAUAAGUCCUACGCAUAGUAUGGCACGGAGUCAUAAACUAUUACACCUGCGGAAUCUCUUUCAAACUACCACAUUCAGAUCAUCUAUUAGGACCAAUCUAAAAAUAGAUGAUACCUAUAUUAUCACAAGUGUCGUUAGUAGUGUUCCCGUUAAUAUAUAAAAUACAGCGAGUCUUUAAGCAUAGUAUGGCACCGAGUCAUCAACAACCACCGCACCUCCCUGAAUCUCUUUCAAACUACCCACUCAGCUCAUCUGAACCUAAAACACGCUAUCACCCAACUUCAUAUGGAAAAGCUCAAAUGGGCAAAGGAUACAGCCUGCGGGAAUAAACCCAUAUAAGCAGUUCAAAAAAGAAAAAUGAUAUCCAACGGGGCCGCAUGCAUCUUAUUGAUGCAUAGGCUGGAGGUAAGCCUCCUUUUCUAAAAAGAAAACAAAAAAAGGAGAUAAACAAGAACGGCGCGAUGUUCUCGGAUGCUCAAGCAACUCUGCUGCGGGAUUUCAUCGGGCAGCUGAACAAGAGACGUGGGGAACUCCUGCGGAUCGCAUGGAGAUGAUGCUGGGAGGGAGCAAGGGGAUCUAGUUGGUGUAGUUCUGUCUGUAAUGAAAAACUUAUGUUGAUUUUGAGCCUGUCUGUUUAGCUGCACUUUGAGAAUCUGCCUAAGUUUGUUGGAUGGAGUCUUUGGUUGUUUUCGUUUUUGCUGGUUUGGUGGUAUGUAAGACUCUACUUUGCUUCAUUUUAAUAAAAUGAGGCAUGGGGAAACCCCUUUCGUUCAAAAAAACAAGAACGGUGUGAACUCAAAGCCGAGCAUGAAAAUAUAAGUCGCCACAGCUAAUAACACAAUGAGACCUAAACCACUGAACAUGAAAGGAAUUGCUCUGCCAUGGGAACCAUCAUACCCCGUUGCAGCGAACACACCAAGUUAUCACUGAAGAGGGCCGCGUACCCUCUUGCUCCGGGGCGCGUGAAGCACUGAUCCUGCCAGCGUAUAGCAAAGACCAACAAUGGUAAUAACAAGGGCACGUGUAAAAGAUGUGAGACCAACAAAUCCACUCCAUGCCUGGGAUCAAGGCAAGCCUGAAUACGCUAACACACUACAACCAGUUGGUCCCUGAACUCCAUGACGAGGCACCUAGGAUAGUAAAGACGCAGCGCACUGCCGCUACCGAUCCCAAAAUGACAGGCUAGGAUUUAUACCCGGAACCCUGACAUGAAGAGGUACCGACAAUGACGCCCAAAAGAGGGAAGUGUGACACCCAUAGGCAUCACCAUCAGCAACACUGAAAGGUGGAGCUUUCUCGUGGAUCCUCAACCGUGCCACCCAAGGGCCGAGGUACCAAGGUCAUUGACCCAACCCGAGGGAAGGGCCACCCUCGCUAGCACAAGGCCUCCAGAUCUUGACCAGGGAUCCGCAACCACCAAAGACAAAAUGACACCAGGAUCGGAUGUCAGUCCUCCCCUCACUACUCUCAUAGCCAAGGAGAAUUUGCACCACUGAUGCCUCGUUGCUUGCCACAGAGCCAACCAUGCAACCUCACCAUCUAGGACUGUCCCUAGCAUCUAAAACCCCGCAUCCCUACCAUGCAAAACCUAUGACACGCCAAUCACUGAUCGAAAGAGGGACAGCUUCACAGCGAUGCCCGAGGGGCAGAUCUGCCUGGUGCUGGUGGCUGAGAAACAAGGGUGUCGCAGCCCGCCUAGUUGUAACGUCCAUGUUCACGGUACGUAUGCCUCCCUGUCGCCCAGGCCAGCAGGGGGACACGACAGCUAAAUUUGUGGCACCCGAGUGAGGCCACCACUCCAUUCCUAAGCAUGGUGGUCCCGCCACCCGGAGUGGAAGGGUCAUAACCCCACUGGCUACGACCCUAGGUCCCAAAUGGUAGGCACACCUUCACGGGAGGAAGUCCUGAUGGUGGAGGCAAGCGAGGAGUCAGAACUAAAGAGAGACUUCCUGGCUGACCUCGUCCGGAUAUGUGGAGAUGAGAGGCUGCCAAUUUUAGUAGGGGAGACUUUAAUAUCAUUAGAAGACGAGAUGAGAAAAACAAUGACAACUUUGAUGGCAGAUGGUCAUUUAUGUUUAAUUCUAUCAUUGAGAGUCUCGAUUUGAGAGAAAUUGAGCUAUCGGGUAGAAAAUUCACGUGGGCAAAUAAUUUACCUAACCCAACAUACGAGAAGUUGGAUAGGGUACUAACGAGUGUGGACUGGGAGCAGAAAUUCCCUCAUGUCACGGUUCGGGCUAUGCCCAGAGCAAUAUCUGAUCACACCCCAUUGUUAGUAGACUCUGGAGAGGCAACACAUAUGGGGAAUAAAAAAAUCUUUUCUUUCGAACUAGGCUGGUUUGAAAAGGAAGGUUUCAUGGACCUUAUAGCCAGAGAAUGGGCUAUGGACAGGGGGGUUCAUCGAGAGUUCAUGACAGGUGGCAAAAUAAGAUAAGACACUGACGUCAAUUCUUGAGGGGCUGGGCAAAACAUGAGAGCGGAAUUUAUAAGAAAGAGAAACAAAGGUUACUUGAACUUAUAAAUUCCCUGGACAUAAAGGCCGAAAGAACGUUAUUAGAUGAUAAUGACAGGUCACUGAAAUCGGAGGCUGAGCUAAAACUAAAACAACUUCUUAGAGAGGAGGAGUUAAAGUCGGCUCUUAGAGCGAAAGUUCGACAUGUGGUGCAAGGUGAUGACAAUACUCAGUUCUUUCAUCUCAUAGCCAAUGGAAAGCAUAGAAAAAAAAAAAUACCAGCUAGAGCAAGAUGAGGGCACAAUAGUAGGACAUGAUAAUCUGAAAAUGUAUAUUUCAGAAUACUACAAAAAACUAUUUGGGGCUCCUGAGGAUAAUUUUGUAUCCAUGCAUGAGCUUAUGGUCGAUGACAUACCUCAGCUAGGGACGGACGAGAAUGAGGUACUAAUCGCGCAGUUCACGGAAAAAGAGGUGUUUGAAGCUAUAUCACAAAUGAAGAAUAAUAAGGCACCAGGACCAGAUGGGUUCCCAGCUGAGUUUUACAAGAGGUGUUCGCACAUUAUCAAAGGUGAUUUGUUGCCUAUGUUCCAAGACCUUUUCGAUGGAAACCUACAUCUAUUUCAUCUAAAUUUUGGAACACUGACAUUGUUGCCAAAAAAGGAAGGGGCGGUGCGUAUAGAGCAAUUUAGACCUAUCUGCCUUCUAAAUGUUAGUUUCAAAAUCUUUACAAAAGUUGGCACAAAUAGGCUGACACAGAUUGCACGUGAAGUAGUGCAACCUACUCAGACAGCUUUCAUGCCAGGAAGGAACAUACUAGAGGGUGUGGUAGUCCUGCAUGAAACGUUGCAUGAAAUUCACUCGAAGAAACUAGAUGGGGUUAUCUUCAAGGUGGAUUUCGAAAAAGCUUAUGAUAAGGUCAAAUGGCCAUUCCUACAACAUGCAUUACGUAUGAAGGGAUUCGAUGAUAUAUGGAGGAAACAUGUCAAAUCUUUUGUACAAAAAGGGAGUGUUUGAAUUAAGGUCAAUGAUGAUAUUGGGCAUUUCUUCCAAACUUUCAAGGGUCUCGGGUAGGGAGAUCCAAUGUCACCCAUCCUAUUUAAUAUAGUUGCUGAUAUGUUGGUAAUUCUAAUAGGAAGGGCUAAACAGGAAGGCCGGGUAGGAGCCUUGGGGCCACAUCUGGUGGACGGUGGCGUCUCGAUCUUACAGUAUGCUGAUGACACGAUCCUGUUUAUGGAGCAUGACAUAGCAAAGGCUAGGAAUAUGAAACUCAUACUCUGUCUAUUUAAACAAUUAUCUGGCCUGAAAAUAAAUUUUCAUAAGAGUGAGUUGUUCUUCUUUGGGAAAGCCAAAGAAGAACAAAACACAUAUAAACAAUUUUUCGGAUGUGAAAUGGGGAGCCUACCGUUCAGCUACCUAGGCAUACCUAUUCAUCAUCGGAAGCUUUCCAAUAGCGAGUGGAAAUGCAUAGAAGAUCGAUUUGAGAAAAAGCUAAGUUGCUAGAAGGGCAAGCUUCUCUCAUAUGGAGGUAGACUAAUUUUGAUUAACUCGGUCCUGACAAGUAUGCCUAUGUUCCUCCUAUCCUUCUUUGAGGUACCGGUCGGGGUACGUAAAAGAUUGGACUUCUAUCGAUCAAGAUUCUUUUGGCAGAGUGAUGAGGAUAAGAAAAAAUAUAGACUGACUAGAUGGGACAUUAUUUGUAGGCCAAAAGACCAAGGUGGUCUGGGAAUUGAGAAUUUAAAGGUGAAGAACAAAUGUCUGCUGAGUAAGUGGUUGUUUAGACUGUCAGUGGAGACAGAAGGAAUGUGGGUACAAAUUUUGCGUAAUAAGUACCUACAUUCGAAGACCUUAGCACAAGUAAAAGUAAGACCCAAUGAUUCACCAUUCUGGAAGGGGUUGAUGAAAGUCAGAUCAGCUUUCUUUCAUAGAACAAAAAUUAUUAUUGGAAAUGGUGAGGGUACUAGAUUCUGGGAGGAGUCGUGGUUGGGGGAGACGCCUUUAGCCACGCAAUACCCAGCUCUUUAUAAUAUUGUGCAACGCAAGGAGGCAUACGUAGCCACAAUCUUACAGUCAAAUCCUCUAAGUAUACAAUUCAGACGGUCUUUGAUAGGGCAUCGAUGGACUGAUUGGUUACACCUGGUUAGGAGACACAUGGAUAUACGUUUAUCAGAGGAACCUGAUAGGGUGUAUUGAAAGCUCACGAGGAGCGGAAUUUUUACAGUCAAAUCAAUGUAUCUCAAUCUUAUUGAUACUAUUAAUAGCCCUAAUUCCAGAAAUAUUUGGAAAGUCCGGGUUCCCUUAAGGAUUAAGGUCUUCAUGUGGUUUGUGCACAAGAAGGUGAUCCUAACAAAGGAUAACUUGGCUAAAAGAAAUUGGGGGGUAGUACUCGGUGUAGUUUUUGUGAUAAUGAAGAAAACAUUUCACACCUCUUUCUCCAAUGCCCUCUUGCGAGAGUUCUGUGGCAGACAGUUUGUAUAGCCUUUAAUAUUAUACCUCCGGACAAUAUUGAUACGUUAUUCAGAACGUGGCUAGAUGGAGUAGAUUCGAGUAUUGCUAGACACAUUCGCAUUGGAGUGUGUGCACUUUUGUGGGCUAUAUGGAACUGUAGAAAUGAUAUGGUUUUUGACAGACAUACAAAUAUACAUUUUUUGCAUGUACUACAAAAAGUUGCGGCAUUAAUCCAUACAUGGUCGUCACUCACGCCUGCGGAAACCAGUGAGCCUUUGGUUACUGGGUCUACCCGAUGGGAGACGGUAGCGCGGGAUAUCUUCAACUGAUUUGGAUGGCAGUCCAGUAAUAUGAUAGAUGAGUAGACAUCUAGGCCUAUUAUGUCGGUUGUGGCAAUUUUCAGUUUACUUUUGCUUUUACUCUCUUUUGUCGGAGACUAUGUUGAACCGAUAUUUGUUUGCUUGCUUAAUAAAGGGAUCGUAUGCAUCGUACUAAUGCAGAGACCGGAGGUAAUCCUUCUUUUCUAAAAAAAAGCGAGGAGUCGAAGGGGGGGAGGGGGGCGAACAGCGACGAGGAGAUGCAGGAAGGAGGAAGACGUCCGGGUACGAGGCCCACUGCCGGGGACGAGGGCAUGCGGAAAUCCCUAGGGGGCGUGAGUUCUCACAAACGAGCACCCUUGGAAGCGACGUGCGGGUACGGGUGCUAGGUGGAGGGAGGUAGGCGAGGCCGGGGAGCAUGGGGACGUUGGUUGGUCGGCGGCGAUGCUAUGUCUCGCGGUGGCAGCUACAAAAAAGGCAGCUCAUCCAAACUAAGAGGAUAGUUUUUGAAUAGCGGGCUAUGGUAUAUUCUCCACUUGGUGUGAUGCUAGAGCGCCCGAAAUAACGCUAAAUCAUACACUAAAUGUUUAGCGUGAGGCCCUUCCAAACGCUGUAGCGAUGGCGUCAAGAUAACAUGAUAUUUAAAACUAUGAGUCUAAGUACUUCCUCCGUCUCAAAAUAAGUACUACUCCUUCCGUCACGGUUUAGAAGGCGUGCAUGCAAAUUCUCUAGGGCCUAGGUGGUUAUUGAUUGGCUGUGAAAUGAGUUAAAAAAUAGCAUUCGCACUAUGCAUGCAUAUAGAAGUAGUACAACGGAGUACUAGUUAGCUGCUAGGAGUAAAUGCAACGUGCCUUAAUCUUUGUCUAUUUUGGAAACGCACGCAAGUCUAACUGUGCCUUCUAAACCGUGACGGAGGAAGUACUCCGUUUCAGUUUACAAGGCAUGCACGUGUAUCUAGGUCGUCAAUUUGACCAACUUAAUGAAAGACGUAUAUUACAAAAAAUAUAUCAUUAGAAACUUUAGAUGUUCUAUUUUCUAAUGAUAUAAUUUUUAUGUUAAACAAUAUAUUUUAUAUAAGCUAAAUUGACGACCUAAGUACACGUGCAUGCCUUGUAAACUGUGAUGGAGGGGAGGGAGUAUCAUUGACUGGGAGUAAUAGUUUUUAUGCGGGACUAUACUAUUUAAAACUAUGACGAAGUACUCCCUCCGUCUCAAAGCGUCGUUGGUUGGGAGUAGUAGUUUUUAUGCAGGACUAAAAUAAGAAUAGCUGAUGUCUAUAUUAGCACAAGAGUGCCGCUAGUAGUGUUCCCGUGGAUCACCAAUAUUCCAGCAUAAGUUCCAACUUAAUUAGCCGCUGCUGCUGGUGAUGGACUCGAUCAACACUGAGCAACAGACCCCUGCGGGCAAGGAUGCAAGCGCUCCCCCACCGCAGGCUCUGGUGGUCAUGGAUCCUUCUCUUCUAAUGGCUGCGAGCACGGGCGACUGCGAGGUGCUAAAGAAUCUCCUGAACUGGGGAGAUGCACCUGUCUGGCCAAAGGCAGUGGCACCUCAGGUCGUCGUCGAGGUUCCCAACGGAGGCACCCUCAACAUUAGCACCACCAACGGAAGCUUGGACGUCCUAGAGCAAGCUUCCACUGGCGCAAUUGAAGAAGGUGCUGGUGAUCAGCCAGCUGCGCCCUCUGCAGAAUCGCUACUGGAGGGAGUCACACCUCUUGGUGACACGGCCCUUCAUGUGUUAGCAAAAUCUGGUAUUGUCUUUGUUCUUGCUUUUUCUCUGUCAGGUUUUUUUCGUUAUUAUAAAAUCCGGUAUUGUCUUUCUUCUUGCUUUUCUCUAUGCCAGGUUUUUUUAUUACUAGGCGAUAUUUCGUGUGUUAAGUGUUGUUACCGAAUUAGUUGCAUAUAUUUUAGUAAGAUUUGGUUGUAGAGAAUAUAUAUUUUUUGAUUAAUAUAGUAACUUAAACUUAAAAAUCAUAUAAGAUUUUGAUUAUUGUAUACUUCUAAUUUAGAAUGAAAUACAUCAUUAGUCCAUUUACUCACAUAGAUUGCACAUUUUUAGUCCCUGCAAAAAAAAAAAAGAUUGCACACUUUUAGGCCACGAAGAUCAGAAUUGGACCAUAAACUCGUUUGUGUGAUAAAUUAAGGUCAAAAUCGAUUCUAAAGGGGGGAAAACUCACCCACAUGGCCAUCAUGUCGGCCGGUGUACUGCUCGCGAUUGGGUUAAUCUUUAGAGAGUUCUUUUGCAGAAUGCUCUGACAUAUUUAAUAAAGAAUUAACUUCACGGUGUACUUUCUCAGUUCUUAAAUAUAAGUUUCUUUAAAGAUUUCGUUACGGACUACAUGAAAAUAUAUAUAUACAUACUUUAAAGUAUAGGUUUAUUCGUUUUGCUUCGUACGUAGUUUAUAAUAAAAUUUCUAAAAAGAAAUUAUAUUUAAGAACAGGAGAAAUAUAAGGCAAGAAUUAAAUCCAAGUCUUCAAGGAAAUUAAGGAAGGCCACGUGCGGACCACCAGGAUGCAAAGUGAAUUGCGUUUAGAAUUGGUAUAUAUACAUAUGGCAAUGGCAUUAUUUUAUAGGUCAGCCAGCAGGAGGAGCUGGGCCGCCCCCGUGGCUCAUCGUUGUCAUGCACUCAUCGUGUUUCUACAAAAAUAAAUAUACUUGUUUCACAAAGAAAUUACUUUGCACCCUAAUGAUUAGCACGUGGUGGUUCUUUCCUUGUAGGUGCGGGUUCAAGUCCUGUCCUAUGCACCACUGGGGCGUUUCAUGUGCUGAUGUGGCAGCAACGUAGACGUAUUUUUCCCUGAAUCAAUUUUGCCCCUAAUUUGACACAUAAACAAGCUUAUAGACUAAAUUUGAUCACUUUCUGAGCUUGUGGCCUAAAUUGUACACCCACGGAGCGUUUAACUUUUUUAUUUUGUCAGCUGUCAAUUUGCAAAAGGACAUCUAUAAAAUUCAACUCAGUCGCUGGUGAUUCACUUUUGUUUUAUGGGUUGUCAAUGUGCAAAGAAUCCUAUAUAAACUCACUCCUAUGUAAAUUCAAUCAACCCGAGCUAUUUAAGGUAUGCUAACGUGGCAGCCACGUAGAGGGGUUCAUCUGUAAUUGGUUUUGCCCGACCUUUUCUUUUACUUUAUCUUUUUUUUUUAAACGAGUUUUCUUUUACUUUAUCGGUUGUCAGUUUGUGGCCUAAAGUGUACAGUCACUUUGAGUUAAUGGACCAAUGAUGCAUUUUAAUCUAUAAUUUAUUUUAAAAUAUUGUAUUCGUUUUUGUAUAUGUGGUUGCAUGUUAAGGUUUGCAUUUUGUUUCAUGUAUGAUUGUAUGUUCUGGUGAUAUCUUUGCAUGUUAAGAAAAAUAUGUAAGUGGGGAUCACCUAUUUAAUUAUGCAGGGUAAUUUGGUUAUUGGUGGUCUUUGCACUAAAUGUCUGUUGUCGUUAUUUUAUUUUUUUGCCAUAUUGUGCCAAUAAAUAAUGAAAACGUAAUAAACAUAAAUAAGACACUGGUGAUUUACAACACCCGUUUUCCAUAACAUUUGCUUCCCUGGUGGCAGGAUACUCCUCGAUGGAAAACUUUCUCGACAGCGCUUAUGUGGUCUAUAAUAAAGCCAAACACCUGUUGCAUAAGCCCAAUAUGUUGGGUGACAUGCCACUGCACUGCGCAAGUCGGGCAGCAAGUUGUAAAAUGGUGUAUUGUCUCUUAGAGUUGGCAAAGGGCGAGGAAGACUGCAAUGACAGGGUGGAGUCUAUGAUAAGAAAGCAAAACAUGCGUGGGGAGACAGCAUUGCACGAGGCAAUUCGUGCGAGGAACGUCGAUAUUGUUAUAUUGCUACUGAUGGAGGACUCACAACUUGCUCGUGUACCAAGUGAAGGAAUUUCACCACUUUUCUUGGCCGUCGUGCUAGGACAGUACCACAUUGCAAGCAUACUUCAUGAGAAAGACAACCAACUAUCGUACUCCGGACCAGAUGGAAAAAAUGUGCUUCAUGCAUCUCUCUUGAGGAACCUAGGUACUUUACUUUGCCAUAAACAAAUAUUUUACUAUCAUUACUUUCUUUGAUUGAAUGUUCUCAGAUAUCUUUUAGCAAACAGCUGCUAGAGAUAGGUUCCAGUGCACCGAUUCUUGUGGCGCUAUCACUAAAAAAAUCUUAGGCGAAAUCCCAUAAUUUAUUUGUACCAUUGGCAGUGUACCUACAAAAACUUCAGUAUCAAAUUCGAUCUACACAUUAAGUUACAAAAACAAAAUUGAAGUACCAGUAGAACUUCUCCCAUUUCUAAAAUACUAAACAGUUGGCUUAGCCCUACACGAGCUCAGAUCAAACUUAUUGUAAUCCCACUAUUUCACAAUGUAGUGUAAAUUUUUCAAGAGUGAAACUUUGCAAACUUUGAUCAAGUUUAUAAAAAAAAAUACCUACAUGCAUUAGUAGAAAACAGGAUUUUUUGUUCUAGCCGGAUCGGAGCAAUAGUCCCGCUCCUGUUACGAACCAAACUAAUGUGGGCAUUAGUACCAUUUCGAAUGGUUAGGACAUCGGACGGGGCUCAACAGACAUCAGUCCCGGAUCGAAUAGGACCUUUAGUCCUAGUUAAAGACACCAACCGGGACAGUCCCAAUUGACGUCUCCAACCGAAACUAAAAGUUUGUCUCAUCAAUUAACUAAGAAAAUAAUAUAGUUUGUGGUACACGAUCCCUCGAUACAAAAGGAGUUAAUUACAUCUGUAAUACAAGAACUUGCAGCUAACUAACAGAAUCCUACACAAGCUAAAAAAACCCAGAAAAAUGACACACUAACUUGUACGUACUAAAUUUUAACACAAUUUCUGGUAACUCUGACGCUACACUCUCCGUCGCUGUUAACCGGGCGUACGUGGCCCUGGCGCUCUCCGUCUACCCUUUCCCAGUCCCGCUGCCAUAGAAAUACACUUUAGUACGCCAUAGAAAUAAAAUCAACAAAAACAUUGCCCGCUGCCGUGAUUCAAACUUGAGACCAAAUAUAAAAAAAAUAGCAGUAUACAAUCAAACUUGAGACCAAACGAUAUUAGGACUGCGUAUGGGGAAUUCGUUUUCACCCGGCGCGCCGGUCGAAUCGUUCGGACGGUCGCGCGCGGGCCGCGCGCCUCGCUAGCAGAUGCUCGCAACAUUUUUGCGUCAAAUUUGCUGCAACCGUGUUUUUCUUAUACAAAUGUUUUCCAUGCAGCUUUUUUUCUCGUGUAAAUUUGUUGCAACCAGCGUCAUAUUUGUUGCAUAUAUGUUUGGUUGCAACUCCAGUUCUUUGAAUUUUUCGUUACAAUCGAUGUUUUUACUUUUGCUACAACUGUGUUAAUUUUUGCUACAACCGGCAUCAUUUUUUGCUGCAACCGUUCACUAAAAAAAGUUGCAUACACGUCACGUAAAUAUUUGUUACAACCGGCGUUUGACUUUUGCUACCACGUAUCAUCAGCUUCGUUUUUUGCUACGAUCACGUAGAUAUUUCUUUUUGCUAUAAUUUUUUGUUUUUGUUGCAACCGUUGAAAAAUUUGUUGCAUCGCAUCGAAAUUUUGCUGCAUCGAAGGAAAAAUGUUGCAUGGAGAUCCAACGGUGCAGACGCGCAGGGGUUGGUGGAUCGUGCGGCGCGCCGGGGCAGAGCACUCCCCCUGCGUAUGUCGAGUUUUUUUUUUUUUUUGCGAUGAACGACCACUACACUUCUCUGUUCUUCGUGUUAAAGGCAGAUACCUUUCUGUACGCUUAGUUUCGCACACGUGCUGGCAUUCCCCAAGUAUUUUGUUGUUCCUUUUUUAUUUCGGGUUUUUAUCUUAUUUCAGAUCUUGGUUUUCUUUCUUCUUUUUUAUUAAAGUUUCACAUGUUUUAUAUAGGUUUUGCAAUAUACUAUGAACUUUUAUUUAAUACUUCAUCCGUCCCGAAAUAAAUGUCUCAACUUUGUACUAAUCUUAGUACAAAAUUUUGCUAAAGUUGAGAUACUAAUCUAGGGACGGAGGGCGUAUAUGGUGGGUUUUUUUCAAUAUACAAUGAACUUUUCUUCAAAUACACAGUUAAAUUUUUAAUAUACAAUAAAUAUUUUGUCAAUACACAAUGCACAUUAAUGUACAAAUACACAUGAGACAUUAUUGUAUAAUAUAUGGUGGGUAUCUUGCAUUGGUUUAUUUCUCUGUCCGACUGAAAAAUGGGACCCACACAAGAUAAAGGGAGAGCGCUCCAGCCACCUACACGGCAUUUAACAGCCACCGCUGUGCGCGUUAAGAAUAACAGAAAUUGUAUUAAAAAUGUUAUGUUGGAUAAGUUAGUGUACCAUUUUUCAGGUUUUUUUUUAGUUUGCGUAUGAUUAUGUGUCAGUUCGCUGCAAGUUUUUGUACUACAAGUGUAAUUAACACAUACAAAAAGUUUGACUCUCCCGAUAUUUUUUUUCUAAUUUUUUUUGCGUCCGCAAUAACCCAAAGCCUUGCCUCGAGAUUUAUGAUCUUCAGCACAUCGUGACGGGAGCACUCCUGUGACGGAAUACCAGGGCGUUUCUCUCAUUUUAAAUAGUCUAACUGGUAAUCAUGUUUAGGGACGCUAUUGCUUUUCUAUUGGGCACACACUUGGUAGAGAGGCUAACCCAUCAGAUAUAUCGGGAGCCAUAUUUUUCACAUUGUAUAUGUUUAGCAUUGUAUGUCUGGAUAAUUUUCUCUAUUAAUUUGAUUUAAGAAAACCUAUAUGCACUACAUUAUGGAACGGAAAGAGUAUUAUAUUGUUUAGUCUGUUUGUCCAACAUUAGUAGUUGUUUCUAUAGAAAGAAUGUAUAGUAUGUAUUAUGAAGAUUUUUUAAGAACGUGAAAUUGGGACCAAAUAUAUUCUUUGGGUAGUUAAUUUUGAGUUGUAUUAUUCUUUGGUAAAGUGAGGUACCGUUUAAAGUAUAUUUUUGGAAACUAACAAUUUUUUAACAUGAAAUGUCCAACCGCACUCAGAGAUAUCGGAAGUUCUGUUGGGUUGGAACAAGGACCUUGCAAAGAAGCAAUGCCACGACGGAAGCACUCCCCUCCACCUUCUUUGUAUGAUGUCUUAUGGCGCCAUUAUGAUACCUACACUACUGGAAGCAAACUCAUAUGCAGCCUACCAGUCAGACCGAAGUGGGUCUUUCCCUAUUCACAAUGCUGCCUCGAUAAACGGGCUCAAAGAAAUCAUCAGCUUGCUUGAAAGGUGUCCAGAAUGCGUCAACUUGUGUGAUACUAUGGGAAGGACUUUUCUUCAUGUUGCUGUUGAGAACAAAAGUUAUGCCGUACUCUCCUAUGCUUGCCGGACACCAUCAGUAUCAUCAAUUUUGAAUGCACAGAACAAGGAUGGGAACACCGCGCUACAUCUAGCUGUCCAGGCUGGGGAUCUGACGAUGGUUUGUUCACUCUUGAGGGAACAGAAAAUACAACUUAGUAUACCAAAUAAUAGUGGACGAACACCCAUACAUCUAGCAUGGUUCAGGCUUCCACGAGGUUUAUAUUUUUACUGGGUAAUGUUAGUUCUUUCAUUUCCCGUUUCAUGCAUGUUAGCUUAUCAUGGCCAUACUUUAUACUCAGUAGUUAGUUUCUUCUGAUUAUAUUUCUUCUAUUUGUGCAGAAUGCUGAAAUUGUGAUAUAUAAGUCACUUGGUUAUGCCGGCGCCAUGUAUGGUUGCUAUGGGGCCAGUCUCCUAGAUGUACGGCAUACAUCCCAACUAGACAAUGACAGAGAGUCCGCGGUAAUCAAUGAUUCCACACAAAUUCUUGGCAUUGGUUCAGUGCUCAUUGCGACGGUAGCAUUCGGCGCAACUUUCGCCCUGCCUGGCGGUUACCGUGCCGAUGACCACCCCAAUGGUGGUACACCAACGCUGGUCGGAAGGUAUACAUAUGCCUUUCAUGCGUACAUCAUUGCCACCACGAUAGCAUUCGUUUGUGCCUCUGUGGCCACUACCGGUCUAAUGUUCUCUGGCAUGGCAAUGGUAGAUUUGGCGGUCCGUCAAAAACAAUUCCAAUUAUCUGUAUGCUUCGCCGCCAGUUCUGUCACUAGCUUGGGAGCUUCGUUUGCAUUGGGCCUUUACAUAGUGCUUGAGCCCGUUGCUCAUAGCACCGCUAUUGCUGUCCUCGUGAUCACUUCUUCUGCAAUGCUCAUCGUGGUGAUGGAACCUUCCCAAUACAUGAAGAUGCUAGGAGCGUUGCGCAUUAGAUUGGGUAAAGGGAUUUGGAGGAUUGUAGUAAAACAAAUCUUUAUGCUAAGUUACAUGUUUUGGCCCUUUGUAAUAAUAUUUAUCUGGCCAGUUUAUUCGACGAAACAUCGUCACAACUGACCCCGCAAAGGUGGGCAAUCAAUUGGUCAGGUACGCACAUGCAUGUGCUUUACACUAGAGCUUCUAGAGUUAACAUGUCCUAUCAAUACUUUUCAGGAGAAUUUCAGCAUACUUUAUUGUACUUGUACCGAUUGAUAUGAAUUAAGUGUGUGAAGCAGUGGUGUUUCCGUCUCGUACUACAAUUGUCUCCAAACCAAGGAUUUGCUUACUGGGCAGUAAAUUCGGUUGCCAUCUGAUGACCGGGUUUCGUACGUGCUGCCCCAUCAUAAACGCAUGUGUCGAGCAAAAUAGAUGGAAUGUUUUGAAAUUGAACUCUCAAAGUAUAGUGCAAUAUAAUAGCAUCUCUGUUACGCGAACAUAUAUACUUAGUCACGGUGUAGUGACAAGUAUGUCUAUUUUGCAUCAAGACCUCACAAGGUUCCCCUCCAUGCAUUUUUUUUUUUGUUUAUUUCCGAGGAUUCGUAAGUCAUAAAGUGAAAUGAGAGUACAUCAUUGACAUCCUCCAACAUGGAGGGUUCCCGACCAUAUUUCGUGAUUGGAUCACCGCCCUCCUAAGCACCUCCUUGUCGUGGGUCCUUUUAAAUUGGGUGGUCCUUUGCCAAAGGGACCCCACCUCCCCCUCUUCAUCAUCGCCAUUUAUCCACUAAAGAGAAUACUUGAGUUAGAGUCUUCAAGAGGGUUGCUGAAAGGACGUGGAUGUCGCCUAGAGGGGGGGUGAAUAGGCGCUUUAAAAUAAUUACGGUUUAGGCUUGAACAAAUGCGAAAUAAAACUAACGUUUAAUUUGUCAAGCACAAAACCUACAAUAACUAGGCUCACCUAUGUGCACCAACAACUUAUGCUAAGUAAGAUAAACAACUAAGUGAUAGCAAGAUAUAUGACAAUAAACAAUAUGGCUAUCACAAAGUAAAGUGCAUAAGUAAAGGGUUCGGGUAAGAGAUAACCGAGGCACGCGGAGACGAUGAUGUAUCCCGAAGUUUACACCCUUACGGAUGCUAAUCUCCGUUGGAGCGGUGUGGAGGCACAAUGCUCCCCAAGAUGCCACUAAGGCCACCGUAAUCUCCUCACGCUCUCGCACAAUGCAAGAUGUCGUGAUUCCACUAAGGGACCCCUGAGGGCGGUCACCGAACCCGUACAAAUGGCAAACCUUGGGGGCGGUCACCGAUACCCGUACAAAUUGCUCGGGGCAAUCUCCAUAACCUAAUUGGAGACCCCGACGCUUGCCCGGAGCUUUACACCACAAUGAUUGAGCUCCGAGACACCACCAAGCUUCUAGGACGCCAAAGUAUCCACGAAGAACAAUAUCUAGGGUACUAAGUACCAAAGGUAAUAAGCUUCUCAAACUUCACUUUCACGUAUCACCGUGGAGAACUCAAACGAUGCAACUAAUGCAAAGGCAAGGGCACACGGAGUGCCCAAGUCCUUCUCUCCCAAAUCCCACCAAAGCAACUAAUGCUAGGGAGGAAAAUGAGAGGAAGAACGAAGAAGAACACGAAGAACUCCAAGAUCUAGACCCAAGGGGUUCCCCUCACUUAGAGGAGAAAGUGAUUGGUGGAAAUGUGGAUCUAGAUCUCCUCUCUCUUUUCCCUCAAGAACUAGCAAGAAUCAUUGGAGGGAUUGAGAGUUAGCAAGCUCGAAGAAGGUCAACAAUGGGGGAAGAACACGAGCUAAAGAGAUAAGGUUCAAUGGGGAAGAAGACCCCCUUUUAUAGGUGGGGAAAAAUCCACCCGUUAUGCUUCACAACCCGCACAGAACGGUACUACCGCUCAUGGGAGCGGUACUACCGCUCGGUAAGUUCACCAACCAUGCUGAGGCCAAAAAGGAUGCAAAAAACAGUCCGACGGAGCGGUACUACCGCUCCUGGAGCGGUACUACCGCUAGGGAGCGGUAGUAAAAAAUUACUACCGCUCCAGGGGCGGUACUACCUCUCCAGGGGCUGUACUACCGCUGGCACGAGGAGCGGUACUACCGCUAGAUACUGAAACUGUUGUAACUUUCGCAUACGGACUCUGAAUGCAACGAAACCAAGUUUGUUGGAAAGCUAACGACAUGGGCUAAGACAAUCUUGAUAGAAAUAUCAAUAAGAAGCAAGUGAGAAAAGUCCCAUAAGAAAAUGGUGAGAACCCUUCUUCGAAUAAGACCGGUAAAAACUCCCAACAUCGAAAACAUCAUAGAAGAUGCAUAUGGACUUCGUUUUCGAUGAACUCGAGCGUGUCAUGAAGAUGACCAUAAGCUCUAAAACUCACAAAGAGAAAUAACAAACAAGAACCAAGAAGUAUGAUGCAAGGAUGCAAAUGGUUUGAGCUCUCAACGAACGAUACGAUCAAGCUACUCACUUGAGAGCCCCCCUUCCAGUACGACAAUCUAUCCUAAAAUAGAAAACCUAUCAAGGGCAAACCUAUACCUUGCACCUCGUCCUCUUGAGCUAGAUGAAGAUGAUCUUGGAUUCCUCAAGACGGACCACCUUUCUUGCUUGCGUUGGCUUGAUGAAGACUAGUUGAUUGCUCCCCCAUACACACUAUGGGUGAGCCGCUCUUCAGCAUAUCUUCACAAGUCCAUUGCCACCAUCCUCCAUCACUUGACGUCAUCCUCCAUGGGUUGUAUGAGAUAUUCCUCUUGACGCAAGCCCAUGGAAACACACCUAACCCCACAUAGAACUCUCAAGAAGACCAUGGGUUAGUACACAAAUACGUACUGGACAAUGCUUACCAUACCAUGAGAUCACUUGAUCCCUCUUGGUACAUCUUGUACGCUUUGUGUGUUGAUCAUCUUGAUUUACUCUUUGUCUGACGAUCUUGAUCAACCUUGUGUCUCUAUGACCAUUCUUUGGAUAAUACCCUUGAAUACCACCUUGGUCAUCAUAUAAACUCCUUGAACCCAACAAAUGGACUUCAAGAAGUGCCUAUGGACAAAUCCUAUAAAUAUAACUUAAGGCUACCAUUAGUCCAUAGGAAUUGUCAUCAAUUACCAAAACCACAUAUGGAGAUAUAUGCUCUAACAGUUGCUCCACAAGAUUCGUAGUCACGGCCCCAUCAUGAGAAUGUCACUCUAAGAAGAUGAUGCAGCGGUGUUCACAACACCCAUAAAAAGGACAUUGACAACCUCUCCAGCAUUUUAAACCGCUUCGGCAAGAUCAGAGCCUUUCCACCAACAUCCAAAAGAGCUCAGUGGCCCUUAUUCGUUGUACAAACCUCAACUUAAACCAAAUUCUUCAAAGCCUCCCGGCUACCCAUUCGUCCUUCCCCAUGAAAUAUUUUUCGCUACAACCCCCCUCACAAAACGUAUGCAGGGUAAUAUGGACUUUUGACCACUUAAACCCAGGUUUGUAGUAUAGGUAAUAUGUACCCCGGACUGGGACGGCCCAUCAAGUUGGUCGUUGUACCUUCGCCCUAGUACUGUCAGGGAAGUCCUUGACAGGAUUCGAACUCGGAACCUGUAGAUCACAAAGAACGGCUGCUAACCAGUUUACCUCAGAACUCUUGGUUAAUAAUUUGGAGCGUGUCGCUUUAAAAACUAAAUAUGACACAGAACCCGGGCAAUUUUUGAAAUUUGUGAACAAAAUUAAUAUAAUAUUUUUCCUAAAUCCCUAACAUUUUCCUAAAAAGUGCAAACAUUUUUAAAACAAAGAUCAAAACUUAUUAAUUGGAAUACUUCCAAAUUUGGAACAUUUCUUCAUAAGCACGAACAUAUAAUCAAAUUCACAAACAUUUUAAAUAUUUGAGACAAAUAUGAAUUAGAAAAACAAAAUAAGAAAACAAGAAUAUUAUCUUUAAUUACAAUAAAGUUUUAGAAUUUAUUAAAACAUAUGAAAACAAGAACAAUUGAAGAAAUAUUGAACAUUUUUUUUAAACUUAAACGUUUUAUAAAUAUUGUGAAACAUUUCUAGAAAACUGAAUGUAUUCAGAAAUUCUAAAAAAAUAAAAACAAUAUGCAUACAUUUUUUAAGUAUUUAUAAAUAUUUUAAAACGGAUAUUUGUUCUCAUUUUGGAAUUUUUUUCAGAACUAGAAAAUAUCUUGUAUAUCCCGUACUUUUUUAAAAUAUAUGAAAAAAAUUAUAAAUAAUUAUUUUGUGAAAUUAUGGAAAAAAUUAUAGAAUUAUGAACUGUGAUUGAAAUUUCCAAAACAAACACGAGAAUUUCAUUAAAAUGAAAAUAAAUUUGGAGAAAAAGAAAUGGAAAAAGAAAAAAAACAGUGAAAAUAAAAUAUGAAACGAGAAAAUAAAGAAAAAGAAAAAAAAUGAGGAAUUGUAAAAAUAAAAUUCGAAAACAAAUAAAAUAAAAAUAAAACAAUUUUGUUUUGAGAAACGGAAAACAAUAUAACUGGAUGAGAUAUUUCCUACUCUAUCUGCAGAAAUAGGCCGGCCAAACGCGUCGCUCGGCUGGUCGCUUUGUGCUAAACAGCAGCAAUCGUCCGCGUUCUGCUUUUCUAAUUUUUGUUCUUCACUUUUUCGUUUUCUUUUUUCUUUUUCUUUUUUCAUUACUAGUAAAAGUGACCGCGCGUUGCACCGGGUUAGAUUGUCGAUUUUUUGAUCAUGUAUUUCGUAUUCGACCCCCCUCCCAUCAUGUUCUUCGUCAAUAUCUACUUCAACUCCGCACCGUCUUUCAAAUGCAAGUAGGUAUGUAAACAUACGACAAAUGAUUAUAUAUAGUAGCGACUAAUACAUAUACGAACUCUCCAAGCAAAAGAAAAUAAAAGAUACUAAUAAAAACAAUUUCCUCCAUAUGAAUGGCUGCCCAGCAGCUCCGAAGAACAGCUACUUGCAUCUGUAUCAGUAGCAAUUGAAAGUUAAGUUGUAAAUAAACGCAGAAACUGCUCGGCACAAACUUGAAAAUUUGAUUUUUGUAAGAGAUAUAGCAAUUCCAAUGGUCAUUAUUUUAGCAGUCUUAUUUUAUUUUUUUUCGUAAAAUUUAAUAUCCAUAGAUCAUAAGAUGACCUGCAUGAUUAUAGAUUUUAAAUAUAUUCAAUUAAGUCCAAAUGGCCGAAAGAGUUGUUCAUAACUAUAAUGAAUUGAACAAUGCCUGUAUUUCCUUUCUCAGAGGAUUCCUGUACUAUAAUUUGGACCUUGCUGGUAUUGUUGGGUAUUGAAAACUCCUUAUUUCAUUUAGUUCAUGAACAAUUGUUUCUAUGGGGGAACCGGACCCAUAGAAGGAAUUUUUUUCUCCAAAGGUCCUCAUAUUUCUGUUGUGUGUCUUUGUAUGUGUACAGGUCAAAAGAGACAUGCCUGAACCGCAUGAAGGUGUAGUGAUCUUUUUUCUCCACGUGAUAUGAAGGAUUGCUUAUAUUGUAACAAAAGCAAACAGAAACUACAACAACAACUACCAUGUUUGUAACUAAAGCAAACAGAAAAUACAAUGACAACUACCAUAUUGCAUUUAAGUUAUUUAUGCCACACAUUUUUUUUCCAUUCUUCUAUGCUCAUGUAAAGUUUGUGCACGUCUGCAACUCGCUUCGUUCAACUGUGCCUUCAUGGUAUGCUUUCUGUUCCGUAAGCGGUAAGCCUAUCCAUUUGCAGUUCCGAAUAGGAUCUACUUCACUUCUCAUCAUAGGCGAUGCCACCUGACUUUCAGUUUGAGUAGCUUCUUCAAGGUCGUCAAAAAAGUCUGCUUCAAACAACCCUCGCAGACUUUGGGUAGAUCUGAGGGAAGCAAAUUCAUUAUACAACAGUGCAAACAAAGGAAAGUUCCAUGAUCAAGUUGAGUUAACCAUGAAACAACUUUUAGUUCUAAGCUCAAGGUUACUUGAUUUUAAGUUUUUACAUGACCGGUCGGACUAUUGCUCGCUAUAACUGAAACUGUGAGGAAUAGAGGCACCAGAAGUUGACAACCAAAGUAGCAGGGUUGUUUUUAAGGGUGUCGAGGCAUUACAUACCUCUAGUGUAGCCAUCAUUGGCGAUAUUGGACAGCUCGACAUAUGUUCUUCUACCUUCGGCGAACUCGAAGCUUCUUCCUCCGGCGAACUUGAAGCCAACAUGAUGCUUUUCUGGUCCAACUACUCCAGGAUUUGAUCGAUUUUCUGGUCCAACUACACAACCUGAUGGAGACGCCGGCCGAGGAUCCUCAGCGAAGUCCAACCCUGGUCGAGCAAUCCAUUGUUUUGUGUUGGAGAAGGACAUCGUCACGAAUUCAAUCCAAGUCAGACAUGGCAACAGUAGAAGGCUCUGCCAGUGGCAAACAUGUCACAGCGGCGUGCUCUCAGCCGGCACUGGUGGACGGCGUACUCACCCUGCCUCCUCAAUGCAUGUUCUCCCUCCACCAGCAGCGCUUGCGGUCGAUGCUAAUUUCAAGAACCUUUUUAGAUAAGAAAAUGAUUACUGAACUUCAUUGCAAAAAGUUACCCCCAAAUAAAGCACUGGCACCAGAGAAUAAGAUCAUAGGAGGGACCUGCACAAAUAAAUUAUCACCUCCAAUUAAAUGAAAAUGUAACAACAUUGUGAGCUUAACAGUUACAGAUGUUAGAUGUGUAUAGUCCCUUUUCGGUUUACACAUGAGCGCGUCCAUCCGAUGGCUGCAACACUGCUUCCGAAUGUGCGCUUGAUAUUCUUUCCAUAUCAAAUAAUAUGGUCACUUAGGAAAGUAAGCAGUCCUUGGAGAAGUAACUUAACUUCUACGGACCUCCAUAUGAUGACAACUCAAGGUUAGUUAUUGAAAGGGGAACAUGACGCAGAGAUUAAAAAAAUUCAGGUUUGCCUACACCAUUUGUAUUAGCACUUCCAACAGAGAUGAAGUUCAAAAGGGGGCAAUUUUGGUGCACGUGCCUAGAACACUGAAUGUACUCCUACUUCUCUAUCUCAAUUUUUGUACUGCUACUUCCACUUGCUGGUUUUCAGAAAAAUGAAAACCAAUUUAUGAGCUGAGCAAGGCAGUCAGUGAGCUCCAGCCACGAAUACGCCACAAAUCAAAUCCCAAACCAAACCAUGACUUGGAGACAACACCCAACGAAAUGGGGAUAUGGCCGGCCAAGUCAAUGAAGAAACCCAGCAUGACCCCGUACUACGGUCUGCUGAAGCGAUCAAACGGGCAGUUAAAACGCAGGGAAAAUUAGGGAUUUCAAGAGCGUGGGCGACGAACUUACAGCGCGGUCAGGGAUUCGGAAUCGCACGCCCAGCAGAAAACCUCCAAUCAUCAUCGCGUGGAGACACGGCCGGCCAUUAGCGGCAGGAAUGGAAGAGGCAGGCACAGGAGAGAGCGAGAGCCGAGAGGCAAGCAAAAAAGCAAAGCUAAGCCCUGUUCCGUUGAAAAAAAAGAGGGAAGGGAUAGGCGAAUCACCAGCGAGGAUAGGGAUAGGGGAAUCCUCCCGUCAGCCGCCGCACCACGUACACCCAACCGCCACAGCGCGCCGCCCCGGCCGGGCGGUUCCGCACUUCGCCGCCUCGCCGCAUGCACUGCCAAGUGCUGCCGCCGCCGCACUUCGCCGCCCCGCGCGCCUGCGCCUCCAGCCUCGCCGCCCCGCCGCAUGUUGCGCUGCGCCCCGCUGCCAGAUCCGGCCGCCCCUCGGCCUCGCCUCCACCUCUGACCACCGUCGCGACGCUCGCCGGCGUCGGAGCCGCCGUCGACGGACCGGCCUCCUCCUCAGCCAGAUCGUAUCCACCCAAUCCCUGGACCGGUGGAGGACACAGGGGUUUUUUGAAAGACGAAACGUUUUUUUCCACUUAUUGAAGGACCGCGGGUUGAUUUUGAAAAAACAGGGGGGCGUUUUUGCAAAACUGCCACGACAGACGACAGAAGGCAUCGAUGCUUUAUUAUUAGGGAGAGAAUUGUUUUUCCUCCUUUUGGGAUGUCUUAUUCAUUUUGGACUGUUUCAAAAAAAUUAAAAAAAUGAAUAAUAAAAUUAAAAAUUGAAUAAUAAAAUACAAGUUUUAAGUAUUUUGAAAUUGUAAUUUGAUUUUUUUUCCUUCAAGUAUUUAUUAAAUGAUGUUUAAGAAAAAUAUUAACUCUUUUCAAGUCAAUUCCUUUUUAUUUAUUAGUUAUGUUAAAAACUUAAAAUAACAGUUUUAAGUAACUUUCCAAAUUAUAGUUUGAAAUAUUUUUUCCUCCAAAUCUGGUAUGGAUGUCUUUCAUGGGCAUGUCCACCUACUGGUAAAAUUUUGGGUCAUUUCAAGAAUGGCAACGUCGCGUGCUUGGGUAGGCCAAAAUGCUUCGUGUGAGAGCUUGUUGUUUAUAGACACCAUAAACACACCAUGCCAAGUUGUUUUGAUGUUCGAUAAAUUUUGCAUUUUCUGGAAUUUUAUGGGCUAAAAAAGAUUGAUAAACGACCGGACAUGCCGCAACUUGCAUAUGGUGUCGGAAAUCAUUCAAACCUUACAUGUUUGCCUACCAUGAGCAUGCCCACCUUCUUGGAAAACUUGGGAUCAUUUUUAAGGAUGUCAAAAAUAAACCAUGUUGAAUGAAUGGUGUGCCGGUAGGCUAGAAGGCUCCGUCUAAGAGCACGUUGUUUCUCAACUCGCCGCGCCAUGUUGGGGGGGGGGGGGGUANNNNNNNNNNNNNNNNNNNNNNNNNNNNNNNNNNNNNNNNNNNNNNNNNNNNNNNNNNNNNNNNNNNNNNNNNNNNNNNNNNNNNNNNNNNNNNNNNNNNNNNNNNNNNNNNNNNNNNNNNNNNNNNNNNNNNNNNNNNNNNNNNNNNNNNNNNNNNNNNNNNNNNNNNNNNNNNNNNNNNNNNNNNNNNNNNNNNNNNNNNNNNNNNNNNNNNNNNNNNNNNNNNNNNNNNNNNNNNNNNNNNNNNNNNNNNNNNNNNNNNNNNNNNNNNNNNNNNNNNNNNNNNNNNNNNNNNNNNNNNNNNNNNNNCGGGGGGGGGGGGAGGUGUUGACAAUUUCUUUUAUUUUCUAGAGUUUUCUAAGUGAAAAUAGGACGAUAAAUGGUCGGUUGUUUCGCAACAUGCAUACUUUGUCGGGAGUCAUUCAAACCUGGUAUGGAUGCCUACUAUGGACAUUUCCACAUGGUAAAAAAGUUGGGAUCAUUUCGGAUAGGCUAGAAGGCUCCAUUCGGGAGCGCAAACUUUUCUCGACAUCCGCCAAAUGGAAUCAAUUUUUUUCAUGGCCUUGUAUGACCAAUUCAAGGGACUAUGCCAAGUUGCUUGGCUUUCUUUCUGAAGUUUUAUGGACAAAAAGACUAAUAUAUAUCCGAAAGUGUCGCAACUUGUAUAGGGUAUCGGAAGUCGUUCAAACAUGGCAUGGAUUCCUACCAUGGGCAUGCCAACUAGCUGGCGAAAGUUGGAGUAGUUUUAAAAAUGUCCAAUAAAACACUAUGUUCAACAUAAGGUGUCCGUGUUGGGGAACGUCGCAUGGGNGCAUAUUUCCAACAGUCUCCCACUUGCACUAGAGUCAAUAAUCUAGUUCACAUCACCAUGUGAUUUCAACGAAUCCAACACCCAUAUAGUUCUGGGGUCUGAUCACGUCUUGCUCGUGAGAGAGGUUUUAGUCAACGGUUCUGAAACUUUCAGAUCCGUGCGUUCUUUACAAAUCUUUAUGUCAUCUUAUAGAUGCUGCUACUACGUGCUAUUCGGAAAUGCUCCAAAUAUCUCCUCUACUAUACGAAUCCGUUUCACUACUCAUAGUUAUUCGGAUUAGUGUCAAAGCUUGCAUCGACGUAACCCUUUACGACGAACUCUUUAACCACCUCCAUAAUCGAGAAAAAUUCCUUAGUCUAUUUAGUUACUAAGGAUAACUUUGACCGCUGGUCAGUGAUUCAAUCCUGGAUCACUCUGUGUACCUCUUAACAGACUUGCUGCAAGGCACACAUCAGGUGAGGUACUCAGCAAGGCAUACUUUAGAGUCUACGGCUAAGGCAUAGAAGACGACCUUCGUCUAUUCUCUUUAUUCUGCCGUGGUCGGGUUUUGAGUCUUACUCAAAUUCACACCUUACAACGCAACCAAGAACUCCUUCUUUGCUGAUCUAUUUUGAACUCCUUCAAAAACUUGUCAAGGCAUGCAUCUUGUUGAAACUUCUAUUAAGCGCUUUCGAUCUAUCUCCAUAGAUCUUUGAUGCUCAACGUUCAAGUAGCGCAAUCCAGGUAUUCCUUUGAAAAAAUCCUUUCAAACAACCUUGUAUGCUUUACAGAAAUUCUACAUUACUUCUGAUCCACAAUAUGUCAACCACAUAUACUUAUCAGAAAUUCUAUAGUGCUCCCACUCACUUCUUUGGAAAUACAAGUUUCUCAUAAACCUUGUACAAACCCAAAAUUUUUGAUCAUCUCAUCAAAGUGUAUAUUCCAACUCCGAGAUGCUUGCACCAGUCCAUUGAAGGAUCGCUGGAGCUUGCAUACUUGUUAGUAUCCUUAGGAUCGACAAAACCUCCUGGUUGUAUCACAUACAAUGUUUUCUCAAGGAAACCGUCCAGGGAACAAUGUUUUGACAUCCUAUGUGCAAUAUUUCAUAAAUAAUGCAGCAACUACUAACAUAAUUCUAACAGACUUUUAGCAUCGCUACAAGUGAGAAAGUCUCAUCAUAGCCAACUGUUUGAUCUUGUCGGAAACAUCUUUGCGACAAGUCGAGCUUUUCUUAAUAGUGACUUAUCACCAUCAUCGUCUGUCUUCCUUUUAAAGAUCCAUCUUUACUCAAUAGUCUUACUACCAUCAAGUAGUUCUUCCAAAGUCUACACUUUGUUUUCAUACAUGGAUCCUCUCUCGGAUUUCAUGGCUUCCAGCCAUUUGUCGGAAUCCGGGCCAACCAUUGCUUUCUCCAUAACUCGUAGGUUCACUGUUGCUCAACAAGAUGACCUCCAAGACAGGGUUACCGUACCACUCUGCAGUAGUACGCGACCUUGUCAACCUACGAGGCUUGUAGUAACUUGAUCCUAUGCUCGAUGAUCACCAUCAUCAGCUUUCACUUCAAUUGGUGUAGGCGCCACAGGAACAACUUCACGCGCCCUGCUACACACUGGUUGAAGUGAUGGUUCAAUAACCUCAUCAAGUUCUACCACCCUCCCACUCAAUUCUUUCGAGAGAAACCUUUCCUCGAGAAAGGAUCCGUUUUUAAAAACAAACACUUUGCUUUCGGAUCUGAGAUAGGAGAUGUACCCAACUGUUUUGGAUAUCCUAUGAAGAUGCAUUUAUCCGCUUUGGGUUCGAGCUUAUCAGACUGAAACUUUUUCACAUAAGUGUCGAAGCCCCAAACUUUCAAGAAAUAACAGUUUAUAUUUCUCUAAACCUCAGUCUAUACUGUGUAAUCUCAACGGAAAUACGCGGUGCCCUAUUCAAAGUGAAUGCGGUUGUCUCUAAUGCAUAACCCAUAAACGAUAGUGGUAAUUCGAUAAGAGACAUCAUAGCAUGCACCAUACCAAAUAGUGUGUGUGGCUAUGACGUUCAGACACAUCAUCACACUGUGAUGUUCCAGGUGGCAUGAACUGCAAAACAAUUUCCACAUUGUCUUAACUGCGUACCAAAACUUGUAACUCGCAUAUUCAUUUCUAUGAUCAUAUCGUGGACAGUUUAUCCUCUUGUUACGACAAACUUCACUCCGAAACAGAAUUGAACUUUUCAAUAUUUCAGACUUGUGAUUCAUUAAGUAAAUACUCUUGUAUCCACUCAAAUCAUCAUUGAAGUAAGAACAUAAUGAUAUCCACUGCGUGCCUCAGCACCCGACUGCAUACAUCAAAAUGUAUCACUUCCAACAAGUUACUAUCUUGUUUCAUCACAAUGAAAACAAGGCCUUGCUCAUGUGGUAUGAUUUCAUGUCACUAGUGAAUCAAAAUCAGGUGAGUAUAAAGAUCCAUCAUCAUGGAGCCUCUUCAUGCAAUUCAUACCAACAUGACUCAAGCGGCAGUGCCACAAGUAAGUGGUACUAUCAUCAUUACCUCGUAUCUUUUGGCACCAAUAUCAUGAACAUGUGUAACACUACGAUCGAGAUUCAAUAAACCAUUGAAGGUGAUUAUUCAAGCAAAUAGAGUAACCAUUAUUCUUUUAAAUGAAUAAUCGUAUUGCAAUAAACACGAUCCAAUCAUGUUCAUACUUAACGCAAUCACCAAAUAACAAUUAUUUCGGUUUAACACCAAUCCCGAUGGUAGAGGGAGCGUGCGACGUUUUGAUCAUAUCAACCUUGAAAAUACUUCCAACACCUAUCGUCACCUCGCCUUUAGCUAGUCUCCGUUUAUUCCGUAGCUUUCAUUUCGUGUUACUAAUCACUUAGCAACCGAACCGGUAUCCAAUACCCUCGUGCUACUAGGAGUACUAGUAAAGUACACAUCAACAUCAUGUAUAUCAAAUAUACUACUUUCGACUUUGCCAACCUACUUAUCUACCAAGCAUCUAGGGUAGCUCCGCCUCAGUGACCGUUCCCCUCAUAACAGAAGCACUUAGUCUCGGGUUUGGGUUUAGACUUGGGUCUCUUCAUUAGUGCAGCAACUGUUUUGCUGUUUCACGAAGUAUCCCUUCUAGCCCUUGCCUUUCAUGAAACUUAGUGGUUUUACUAACCAUCAACUAUUGAUGCUCCUUCUUGAUUUCUACUUUCGCAGUGUCAAACAUCGCGAAUCGCUCAAGGAUCAUUGUAUCUAUCCUUGACAUGUUAUAGUUCAUCACGAAGCUCUCACAGCUUAGUGGCAGUGACUUUGGAGAACCAUCACUAUCUUAUCUGGAAGAUCAACUCCCACCUGAUUCAAGCGAUUGUCGUACUCAGAUAAUCUGAGCACAUGCUCAACGAUUGAGCUUUUCUCCUAUACUUCAUGGACAAAGAAUCUUGUCGGAGGUCUCAUACCUCUUAACAAGGGCACAAGCAUGAAAUCACAAUUUCAUCUCUUUAGAACAUCUCUUAUGUUCCGUGACGUUCCAAAACGUCUUCGGUGCCUUGCUUCUAAGCCAUUAAGUAUUUUGCACUGAACUAUCGUGUAGUCAUCAGAAACGUGUAUGUCGGAUGUUCACAACAUCUACAGACGACGCCCGAGGUGCAGCACACCGAGUGGUGCAUUAAGGACAUAAGCCUUCUGCGCAGCAACGAGGACAAUCCUCGGUUUUACAGACUCAAUCUGCAAAGUUUGCUACUAUCAACUUUCGACUAAAUUUUCUCUAGGAACAUAUAAAAACAGUAGAGCUAUAGCGCAAGCUACAUCGUAAUUCGAAAGACCAUUAGACUAUGUUCAUGACAAUUAGUUCAAUUAAUCAUAUUACUUAAGAACUCCCACUCAAAAAGUACAUCUCUCUAGUCAUUUGAGUGGUACAUGAUCCAAAUCCACUAUCUCAAGUCCGAUCAUCACGUGAGUCGAGAAUAGUUUCAGUGGUAAGCAUCUCUAUGCUAAUCAUAUCAACUAUACGAUUCAUGCUUGACCUUUUGGUCUCAUGUGUUCCGAGGCCAUGUCUGCACAUGCUAGGCUCGCCAACUUAACCCGAGUGUUCCGCGUGUGCAACUGUUUUGCACCCGUUGUAUGUGAACGUUGAGUCUAUCACACCCGAUCAUCACGUGGUGUCUCGAAACGAAGAACUGUCGCAACAGUGCACAGUCGGGGAGAACACAAUUUCGUCUUGAAAUUUUAGUGAGAGAUCACCUCAUAAUGCUACCGUCGUUCUAAGCAAGAUAAGGUGCAUAAAGGAUUAACAUCACAUGAAAUUCAUAAGUGACAUGAUAUGGCCAUCAUCAUGUGCUUCUUGAUCUCCAUCACCAAAGCACCGGCACGAUCUUCUUCUCACCGGCGUCACACCAUGAUCUCCAUCAUCAUGAUCUCCAUCAACGUGUCGCCAUCGGGGUUGUCGUGCUACUCAUGCUAUUACUACUAAAGCUACGUCCUAGCAAUAUAGUAAACGCAUCUGCAAGCACAAACGUUAGUUUAAAGACAACCCUAUGGCUCCUGUCGGUUGCCGUACCAUCGACGUGCAAGUCGAUAUUAACUAUUACAACAUGAUCAUCUCAUACAUCCAAUAUAUCACAUCACAUCGUUGGCCAUAUCACAUCACAAGCAUACCCUGCAAAAACAAGUUAGACGUCCUCUAAUUGUUGUUGCAUGUUUUACGUGGUGACCAUGGGUAUCUAGUAGGAUCGCAUCUUACUUACGCAAACACCACAACGGAGAUGUAUGAAUUGCUAUUUAACCACAUCCAAGGACCUCCUCGGUCAAAUCCGAUUCAACUAAAGUUGGAGAAACCGACACUCACCGGUCAUCUUUGAGCAACGGAGUUACUCGUAGCGAUGAAACCAGUCUCUCGUAAGCGUACGAGUAAUGUCGGUCCGAGCCGCUUCGAUCCAACAAUACUGCGGAAUCAAAAAAAGACUAAGGAGGGCAGCAAAACGCACAUCACCGCCCACAAAAACUUUUGUGUUCUACUCGAGAAGACAUCUACGCAUGAACCUAGCUCAUGAUGCCACUGAUGGGGAACGUCGCAUGGGAAACAAAAAUUUUCCUACGCGCACGAAGACCUAUCAUGGUGAUGUCCAUCUACGAGAGGGGAUGUGUGAUCUACGUACCCUUGUAGACCGUACAGCAGAAGCGUUAGUGAACGCGGUUGAUGUAGUGGAACGUCCUCACGUCCCUCGAUCCGCCCCGCGAACCGUCCCGCGAUCAGUCCCACGAUCUAGUGCCGAACGGACGGCACCUCCGCGUUCAGCACACGUACAGCUCGACGAUGAUCUCGGCCUUCUUGAUCCAGCAAGAGAGACGGAGAGNNNNNNNNNNNNNNNNNNNNNNNNNNNNNNNNNNNNNNNNNNNNNNNNNNNNNNNNNNNNNNNNNNNNNNNNNNNNNNNNNNNNNNNNNNNNNNNNNNNNNNNNNNNNNNNNNNNNNNNNNNNNNNNNNNNNNNNNNNNNNNNNNNNNNNNNNNNNNNNNNNNNNNNNNNNNNNNNNNNNNNNNNNNNNNNNNNNNNNNNNNNNNNNNNNNNNNNNNNNNNNNNNNNNNNNNNNNNNNNNNNNNNNNNNNNNNNNNNNNNNNNNNNNNNNNNNNNNNNNNNNNNNNNNNNNNNNNNNNNNNNNNNNNNNNNNNNNNNNNNNNNNNNNNNNNNNNNNNNNNNNNNNNNNNNNNNNNNNNNNNNNNNNNNNNNNNNNNNNNNNNNNNNNNNNNNNNNNNNNNNNNNNNNNNNAGGAGUCCUACUCCAAUCCUACUUGGAGUAGGAUUCCACCUUCCCACUUGGAAACUCUUUCCACCUUGUGUUUUUUCCUUCUCAAACCUUAUGGGCCUUAGUGGGAACUUAUUCCAGCCCACUAGGGGCUGGUUUAUCUCUUCCCAUAGCCCAUGAGACCCCUUGGGGCGUGACACCCCUCCUGAUGGUCCCCGGCUCCCCUCCCGGCACUCCCAGUACACUACCGAUGAGCCCGAAACUUUUCCGGUAAUGCACGAAAACCUUCCGGUAACCAAAUAAGGUCAUCCUAUAUAUCAAUCUUAGUUUCCAGACCAUUCCGGAAACCCUCGUGACGUCCGUAAUCUCAUCCGAGACUCCGAACAACAUUCGGUAACCAACCAUAUAACUCAAAUACGCAUAAAACAUCGUCGAACNNNNNNNNNNNNNNNNNNNNNNNNNNNNNNNNNNNNNNNNNNNNNNNNNNNNNNNNNNNNNNNNNNNNNNNNNNNNNNNNNNNNNNNNNNNNNNNNNNNNNNNNNNNNNNNNNNNNNNNNNNNNNNNNNNNNNNNNNNNNNNNNNNNNNNNNNNNNNNNNNNNNNNNNNNNNNNNNNNNNNNNNNNNNNNNNNNNNNNNNNNNNNNNNNNNNNNNNNNNNNNNNNNNNNNNNNNNNNNNNNNNNNNNNNNNNNNNNNNNNNNNNNNNNNNNNNNNNNNNNNNNNNNNNNNNNNNNNNNNNNNNNNNNNNNNNNNNNNNNNNNNNNNNNNNNNNNNNNNNNNNNNNNNNNNNNNNNNNNNNNNNNNNNNNNNNNNNNNNNNNNNNNNNNNNNNUAUCGUUUGAACCUCAGUACCAAGGAUUCAUAUAAUCCCGUAUGUCAUUCCCUUUGUCCUUCGGUAUGUUACUUGUCCGAGAUUCGAUCGUCGGUAUCCGCAUACCUAUUUCAAUCUCGUUUACCGGUAAGUCUGUUUACUCGUUUUGUAAUACAAGAUCCCGCAACUUACACUAAGUCACAUUGCUUGCAAGGCUUGUGUGUGAUGUUGUAUUACCGAGUGGGCCCCGAGAUACCUCUCCGUCAUACGGAGUGAUAAAUCCCAGUCUUGAUCCNGCAUAUUUCCAACAGUCUGGUAGGCUAGAAGGGUACGUCUGACAGCAUACUUGAUGUCUACUAUGCAACUUUAUUCUUGCACAUGUUGUUGGACCUUCAAGUGGGGAGUUUUGUAAGACACUAGCAACUUUUCCUCAAGUGGAUGACCUAAGGUUUAUCAAUCCGUGGAAGUUGUAGUAUGAAGAUGACCUCUCUCAAACA